rnacentral:lncRNA from 1 species
UUGUUCCCGGAAAGUGAGCAAAGUUUUAUCAGUUUGUAAUUUGCAUUUUUUCAGUCUUUUGAAUUCGAGUGAGAGUGAGAGGGCAGAAGGAGAAAGAGCAGGGUUUGUGUUUGUGAUGGAUGGUUUGAGACUUUCAGAUGUAAAUUUGCAAAGACUUCGUAUGAUUGAUCAUUAACUCAAAUAACUCAUUUUUCUCUCAUAUUCUUCUCGUAAUAUUUCAAAAUCUGAACUGGACUUAUAUUCUUCGAUUCACUCUAUUGAAGAGGCUAUUUCUACAAUUGCACAAUUGAUUACAAAUACAUGACACGAGUUUAAGCCAAUGGGCAAAUGAUCUGAUAUCCUGAUACAAAGCAAGGAAGGACAUACUGAUAAAUUUAAAACUAUGCUGCAUCUCGAAAAUGGACCUUUGAGGAUUAUUGAUAGAAAUGCUUAUGGUAAACAAAAUCCGUUGAAAUUUAGUCGACAUCGUAAAAGUUCCACACAAGCGAUCAAACAUAUAAAUUAAAAACUAACUCAGACGGGCAAAGAAGAUACAUCCUUUACCUCAAAGAAGUCCUGUAGAGCGGUCAUUUUAAUGGCACUUGACUUCAAGCUCUUGAUUCCCUCGGCAGUCGCUAACGCUCCAGCCACUGUGGUUAUAACAGGGACCUUGUAGGCUAGAGCCAUUUGUCUGAGCUCUCUCCCAUCUUUCUGGUCAAGAGCAUCUCCCGAGCUUGUGAUCAACAUCAACUGGAUCUGACCAUUAGCCACCAUAUCAGCAGCAUGUGGUCUUCCUUCAUGCAACUUCAGCACUUUCUCCACGGCAAUGCCUUUCAGGUCCAGAAAAUGAGCUGUUCCCGAGGUGGCAACGAUCUUGAACCCGAGCUCGAGGAAGGACACCGCGAUUUUCUCUAGGUGCGAUUUGGUCAUAUCGUUUAAGCUGAGGAAGACUGUCCCGGUUAAAGGUAGCUUUUGACCUGCAGCGAUCUGAGCCAUUGCAAACGCACUUGAAAAUUCAGAACUGAUGCUCAUCACUUCUCCUGUGCUUCUCAUCUCUGGCCCGAGUAUCACAUCACAUCCUUGGAACUUCUCAAAUGGGAAAACAGCUUCUUUGACAGAGAUGUGUUUAGGGAUGACUUCUUUUUCAAAGUUAAUGUCUUUGAGAGAUUUGCCUGACAUGACCAGUGCAGCAUACUUGGCAAGCGGAUGUCCAAUGGCUUUCGAGACAAAAGGGACAGUACGGGAAGCUCGGGGAUUGGCUUCAAGCAAGAAAACAUCCCCAGAUGUCGUGAUUGCAUACUGACAAUUCAUCAGCCCACAUACAUUUAGCUUCUUCGCCAGCUUAGUGGUCCAUGAACGGAUAGUUUGUAAACAAGAAGAUGGGAUAGUUUGUGUUGGAAGCAUACAGGCCGAGUCACCAGAAUGCACACCAGCUUGUUCGAUAUGCUCCAUUAUUCCACCAAUCACCACAUUUCCAUAGGAAUCAGUAAGGGUAUCAACGUCGAUCUCAAUGGCAUCAGAGAGAUAUUUAUCUACCAAAACAGGUCUCUCUGGGUCAACUUCAACCGCAUUUUCCAAAUACGUUAUUAAUCUACUGUCAUCAUAAACGAUCUCCAUUGCCCGUCCACCUAGAACAUAAGAAGGUCUUACCACAACUGGGUAGCCUACCUCCUUCGCAAUGGCUAAGGCAUCAGCUUCGCUCUUUGCAAUGCCUCCCUUGGGUUGCUCAAUUUUCAGCUCAUCAAGAAUUGCAUUAAACCUCUCUCUGUCUUCAGCAGCAUCAAUGGAGUCAGGUGAUGUACCCCAGAUGCGAACAGGUCCCUCUCCGCUCAAACUCAUGGGCAUGUGCUUAUCCAAAUAACGUUUGAUUGGGAGAGCAAGUUUCAGAGGAGUUUGACCACCAAAUUGCACUAUUAUUCCAUCAGGUUUUUCAAGAUCAAUAACAUUGAGAACAUCCUCGAUUGUGAGAGGUUCAAAGUAGAGCCUAUCGCUUGUAUCAUAAUCUGUGGAUACUGUUUCAGGAUUUGAGUUCAACAUUAUGGUCUCAUAUCCAGCAUCCUGCAAAUAUAUUUAAAUAGUCGAUAUGUAAAUUUUGCGAAACAAAGUUGAAAGAUGUGUGGCAACAACAGUAAGGCGAGAGACGCUUAGAUUGUCUAGGACUAACCUGUAAGGCGAAAGAUGUGUGGCAACAACAGUAAUCAAAUUCAAUCCCUUGACCAAUACGAUUUGGCCCUCCACCCAAAAUCAAAACCUUCUUCUUGCUGUUUGGAGCUGAUUCACAUUCAAAAUCAUACGAAGAGUACAUGUAUGGUGUAUGCGCUUCGAACUCUGCUGCACAUGUAUCAACUCUCUUGUAAGAUGGAACAACUCCUAAAGAAAUCCGCUUUGUACGGACUUCUUCUUCUGUUGUCUUUGUAGCAUAAGCGAUUUGCUUGUCACUAAAUCCCCGCUUUUUGACUUCGUAAAGGUCUUCUUUUGUAAUCUCUGACAAGGUUCCGCACAUAAGAUACUGUUCCACGUCCACAAGCUCUUUAAGCUGGGUUAGGAACCACUUGUCUACCAUGCUCAACUCGUAGAUUUCAUCAAUCUUCAUACCCUUUUUCAUGGCAGCAUAUAUCGCAUGGAUCCUGUCCGGAUUUGGGACUCUAAGGCUGUAUUUAAGCUGAUCCCAGUCCCAAUCUAGCUCUUUGAUUUUUGCACAACCCCAACCUGAGAAUCCAGACUCCAGAGACCUCAGAGCUUUCUGGAAAGAUUCUUGGAAUGUGCGGCCGAGAGCCAUAGAUUCCCCCACAGAUUUCAUCUGGGUCGUUAGCAAGGGCUGAGAUCCUGGAAACUUUUCAAAUGCGAAUCUAGGAAUCUGCAGGAUAUAAAAAAGUGUAUAGAAUAAGCAAAUUAUGCAUCGAGUUUGUAUUUCCUCAAGUGGAUAUACGUGAGUAAAUCCUGAAACUCAAGAGAGCAUCUCAUUUUGCAACACAAAAAAGAAAGCCAAAAGAAUGCACUCGAAAGAAUGACAAACCUUAGUCACCACAUAAUCGAUGGAGGGCUCGAAGCUAGCUGGUGUUUUCCUGGUGAUAUCAUUAGGAAUCUGAUCCAAGGUAUAACCAACAGACAACUUGGCUGCCAUUUUAGCAAUGGGAAAUCCUGUAGCCUUGGAAGCAAGAGCAGAAGAUCUCGAGACCCUAGGGUUCAUCUCUAUGAUCAUAACUUCACCAUCAACGGGGUUAACUGCAAACUGCACAUUAGAUCCACCACACUCAACACCAAUCUCCCUUAUAAUGGCAAUGGAAUAAUCCCUAAGCCGCUGGUACUCCCUAUCCGUAAGGGUCUGUGCAGGCGCCACAGUAAUGGAAUCACCCGUAUGCACACCCAUAGGAUCAAUGUUCUCAAUGGAACAGAUAAUGACAACAUUGUCAGCUAAGUCUCUCAUCACCUCAAGCUCAUAUUCUUUCCAACCCAACAACGACUUCUCAACAAGAACCUGACUUGUCACACUGGCAGCCAAACCGGCUUUACAAAUGGACUCAAACUCCUCUUUGUUAUAGGCAAUUCCACCACCAGUACCACCCAAAGUAAACGCAGGACGGAUAAUCAAAGGGAACUCACCAAUUCUCCCAGCAAUGUCGAAACACUCAUCAAGAGUGUUCCCAAUCCCUGAAGGUGGAGUCUUUAGCCCAAUGUUCUUCAUGGCCUGCUUAAACAAAUCACGAUCUUCAGCUUUCUUAAUAGCACCAAGCUUAGCCCCAAUCAAUUCAACACCGUAUCUCUCGAGAGCACCACUCUCAGCAAGAGCAACGGCAAGGUUCAGUGCGGUUUGGCCACCCAUGGUAGGCAACAAAGCGUCAGGCCUCUCUUUCUCAAUAACCUGCUCGACGAGCUCAGGAGUCAUGGGAGCAAUAUAGGUCCGAUUAGCAGUCUCCGGGUCAGUCAUGAUAGUAGCCGGAUUGGAAUUGAUGAGAAUGACAUCGUAACCCUCUUCCCUAAGGGCUUUACAAGCUUGAGUUCCAGAGUAAUCAAACUCGCAAGCUUGGCCAAUCACAAUGGGACCAGCACCGAGAAUCAUAAUCUUCUUCAGAUCGGUCCUUUUCCCGACGAUCUCCGGAGAAAAGGCCUUGGUAGUGGUGUCGGCGAGCUCUGAGACGGGUUUGAGAACACGAGUAACGGAGGCUUUGCGGUUGAGACAUGGGAGAAAAGUGGAGAAGGAAGAAGAAGAAGAGCCAAGCUUGGAUUUAGCUCUGUAAUUGUUGGCAGAGCGAGAGAAGAAGGUGGAAUUGGAGAGCUUGGAAGGAGAGAAGCGAGGAUGAGAUUUUGAAGAAGCGAAAAUGUUAGAAGAGAGUUCUAAGCAAUGGUUACUCAUUUCGUCUGUGUCGGCUCUCUGUUACUGGGUGAGAGACUGCAGAAGAGAGAGUAGUAAGUGAGACACCAGAAAGAGAGAGAGGGUUUUAUUUAGGGUUUCUCGGGAAUUUGGAUUAUUUCGGUUUAUUAUAUUUUUAUUAAAUUUUUUAUUUGUCCUUUUCAAAGUUUCGUGGCAUAUUGAUCUGAUUUAUAUAUCACACGUUCAACAAAAGCUUUGGGAAAAAUUUGACAACUGUAAAAGAAAGAUCAUAAAGGGUCCGAGAGUCCGACCAGAAACAAAAUACUGAAAUAGAUAUGUAAGGAAUAAAAACACUACUGUUUAGGUUAUUUGAUUGACUCAAUUAUUUACAUCACUGUUUCCCUAAUUUCCUUUUUAAAGAACAAAUGUGAUACCAUAUAUCUUUUUAUGAUUUAAACCCCUUCGAAAGUACAGUUUUAAAUGAACAUACUCAACAUAGGCAAAAGAAGAGGGCACACGAGCCUGUCAAGGGUUAAUGUGGGAUCAGGCGAAGAAUAAGACCAAAGAAAUAUAAACUAAAUGAUAUCGCAGCCAUAGCAAGGACGUUGUGGACAGAUUGGGUUUUGGUCUUUGGGUUUAUAAAACACACAUCUCUUAAAAUCCAAAUAAUUUUAAUUAGGCCCAUAAGCCCAAUAUGAUUAAUUUCAUUUAGUCGUCACAAAAUAGCAAAGCCUCUCACCACUGGAAUUAGGGUAACGCCAUUGUUGUUGGUUCUUUGUCACUCACCACCGUCCGUGACAAGAGUUAUAGCUUGUAGAGUGUCACCUUCUUCAAGCUUAGGUAACACCAUUAUCUUCCUUCGUUAAUCUUCAACGAUCUUCAGUAUCUUCCAUAGUAUCGAUUUUUGCUGUUGUUUAGCUUUCAUAUUCCUGCAAAAUGAAAUCGAAGAAGUAUCGUUUUCUUGUUUAGAUAGAGAUUUCGUUUUGUAGCUUUUUCCAAUUGUUUCAUCUUACUUGCAGCUGAGAUUUUCACUUCUAGACUAUUAGCAACUCUUAGGAUCUGUUUAGAAUUGAGUGUAGGCUUUGUUUAGCAACUGUUUUAAAAUUGCUUUGUUGAUUCUUUAUCCUAAACCAUAAGGUCUAAUGUGUAAGUGGAACCAACACCGCAUCUUCUCUACCUUUGUCUCUCUUCGCAGACAACAAAUCUUCAGUGUUCGUCGAUUCCAAACCACCACAACCCUUGGCAAACCCAUCUCCAUUGCUUCAAUUCAGAUUCCGAUGGACGCCACUGAACAAUCUCUCCGUCAAUCCCUAUCGGAGAAAUCGUCAUCUGUCGAAGCUCAGGGUAACGCCGUCCGAGCUCUCAAGGCCUCCCGUGCAGCGAAACCGGAUAUCGAUGCCGCUAUCGAGCUACUUAACAAAUUGAAGCUCGAGAAAUCCGCAGUUGAGAAGGAGCUUCAGUCCACAAUUAGUGGCUCUGGUAAUGGUUCUCUUAACCGUGAGGCCUUUCGAAAAGCUGUAGUCAACACUCUUGAGCGGCGUUUGUUCUAUAUUCCUUCGUUUAAAAUCUACAGUGGCGUCGCUGGACUUUUUGAUUAUGGUCCUCCUGGAUGUGCUAUUAAGUCCAAUGUCCUGAGCUUUUGGCGUCAAGUAAGGAACACUGUUCACAUUUCUCUGUAUUCAAAGUCAACAAGAUUUAUAGAGUAGAAUUUGAGUUAGGUUUGUUCUUACACGGGAUAGAUUUGGGUAGAAUUUGACAUGAUUGAUAGAGUAAAAAUUGUGUUAGGUUUGUUCUUAUAUGCUAUUUGAUUUGAUUUGCAGCAUUUCAUUCUUGAGGAGAACAUGCUAGAAGUUGAUUGUCCAUGUGUGACACCAGAGGUUGUUCUCAAGGCAUCGGGGCAUGUAGAUAAGUUCACUGAUCUUAUGGUUAAGGAUGAGAAAACUGGAACAUGUUACCGUGCAGACCACUUGCUCAAGGAUUAUUGCACAGAGAAGCUGGAGAAAGAUCUUACCAUCUCUGCUGAUAAAGCUGCUGAACUGAAGGAUGUUCUUGCUGUUAUGGAAGAUUUUUCUCCUGAACAGCUAGGUGCGAAAAUUAAGGAGUAUGGGAUCACUGCUCCGGACACAAAGAACCCACUUUCUGAUCCUUACCCGUUUAACUUGAUGUUUCAAACAUCCAUUGGCCCAUCUGGUCUAAUUCCUGGGUGAGUAUUUUUAAUGUUAUGAUUGUUUCUGAGCUACUUUCUUUCCUGAUUUUUUAAUAUCAAAUUACUCUUUUUUUUGUGUGUUUCAGUUACAUGCGUCCUGAAACUGCUCAAGGCAUCUUUGUGAACUUUAAGGACCUGUACUAUUACAAUGGGAAGAAACUUCCAUUUGCCGCGGCUCAAAUUGGUCAAGCCUUUAGAAAUGAGGUAAUAUAUUGCUUUCCUUGAUGUAUGGGAUGUGUUCAUCUUCUGUAAAAGACUAUUUUCUCUAUUGUGUCUGGGUUUAAAUAAGUAGCAUAUUACUCGCAGAUAUCUCCUCGUCAAGGACUUCUUAGAGUUCGUGAAUUCACGCUGGCAGAGAUUGAGCACUUCGUUGAUCCUGAAAAUAAGUCACAUCCCAAAUUUCGUGAUGUAGCAAAACUGGAAUUCCUUAUGUUCCCAAGGGAGGAACAAAUGUCUGGCCAAUCUGCAAAAAAACUUUGCCUUGGUGAAGCUGUUGCUAAGGUUAGUAUUUGUAAUAAUAGUAGCCUAUUUAAUUUUUACUAAGCUCUCUUCCACACCCAUUUUUAUAUCUUAUUGAUGCCUGCAAUUGAAAACCUAUACGUAUAGGGUACUGUGAACAAUGAAACUCUAGGAUACUUCAUUGGGAGAGUAUAUCUUUUCCUUACCCGCCUUGGCAUAGACAAGGAACGGCUGCGCUUCCGUCAGCAUCUAGCAAAUGAAAUGGCCCACUAUGCAGCAGAUUGUUGGGAUGCUGAAAUUGAGAGUUCAUAUGGGUGGAUUGAAUGUGUUGGGAUUGCAGAUAGGUCUGCCUACGACCUGCGUGCUCAUUCUGUAUGAACCUCACCUUUACUUAUAUUUUCAUCAUUUCGUUUGACAGCUAUAGAUAAUUAAUGAUCAAAAGCCGUAAGUAUUCCUAGUUAAACUCAUGUUGAUCAACUGUUGCACGACAGGACAAAAGUGGCGUUCCCCUAGUGGCUGAAGAGAAAUUUGCAGAACCUAAAGAAGUAGAGGUAUUUUAGUGAACAAAUUCAUUCGUCUCUGAUUCUUUGUCGUUAUAACUUCCCCUUAAUAAGGUUCUCUUCUAUUUCAGAAACUUGUGAUUACACCUGUGAAGAAAGAACUGGGUCUUGCAUUCAAGGGAAAUCAAAAGAAUGUGGUUGAAUCUUUGGAGGUUGAACUCUAUUGUUUACUGCAUAGCUUCUUCUACAUGGUGCUGGUUUAAAAUAAAUAUCAUGCUUAAUGUAAUAUUUUUUUUUUUAUGUUAGGCAAUGAAUGAGGAAGAAGCUAUGGAGAUGAAAGCAACCCUGGAAUCCAAAGGGGAAGUGGAGUUUUUCGUGUGUACCCUUAAGAAAAAUGUGACCAUCAAGAAGAAUAUGGUGUCAAUCUCAAAGGAGAAGAAGAAAGAACACCAGCGGGUUUUCACUCCAUCAGUGAUUGAACCAUCGUUUGGGAUUGGACGGAUCAUAUAUUGUCUGUACGAGCAUUGUUUCAGCACAAGGCCAAGCAAAGCAGGGGAUGAACAAUUGAACGUGUUCCGUUUCCCUCCUCUUGUAGCUCCCAUCAAGUGCACAGUUUUCCCGCUUGUUCAGAACCAACAAUUCGAGGAAGCAGCCAGAGUUAUUUCUAAGGAACUGGCUUCUGUUGGUAUCUCACAUAAGAUUGACAUCACUGGUACGUAAAAACAAUUUGAGAAACGAAGGUUUUUUUUUAUAACUAUUGAAAUGGACAAACUGAGUGAAGAUUUGUGUCUGUGUGUGAAUGUGAAUAGGUACGUCGAUAGGGAAGAGAUAUGCAAGAACCGAUGAGCUUGGAGUGCCAUUUGCAAUAACAGUGGACUCAGAGACAUCAGUGACAAUCAGAGAAAGAGACAGCAAAGAUCAAAUCCGAGUCAGUUUGAAGGAGGCAGCGUCCGUUGUGAGCUCAGUCGCAGAGGGGAAGAUGACAUGGCAAGACGUGUGGGCAAGCUUCCCACACCACUCUUCUGCUGCAGCAGACGAGUAGCUAGCUCUUUCAAUCACCAUGACCAUAAUCCUUACUCGUGUUUUUCUUUUUUACAUUUCGAACUAAAGAGGGAAUUUUAAGUUCAACAAACCAUCAUUGAAUGAUUUGGCUGUAAUGCAUACACAUCACUUCUGGGGUAGAACUUAAAACUCAUGUUCUGCAUAUAUGCAUGUCACUUUUGUAUAAACAAGGUCCUUUUAAUUGCGGUCUUUGUCAAAAGAAAAAAUGAAAAGAAACUCUUGUUAAUGUUUGGGUUGAAGUCUGAAGAAAUCGAUGAUUCAGGGGUGAAGUCGUUUUCGUUAAUGUAACCGCGAGUCAACAAUUUCUGCAUUUCCACCAUCGACCAAAAAAAGAAAAGAAAGUGAAGACUUUAAAACCAAAUUAAAAACAUACGUUACCAAACUUUGUUGUCCAAUAAUGAAAUCAUCAUGCAUAAUCAGAAUAGACGAACCAAAUGCUAAUUAAUACCAAAUUUACGAAGACGACGAAAUACACUAAAACAUGUAUGCAUACCUCUAAUUAGAGACGUUCAUAAAGUUUUAACUCUUACAAGAAUGACGAAUCAAAAGUCCAAAUAAUUAGUAGUAGGUUGUCAAUUUGUCAUCAGUGAAAUAUAUAUAUAUAUAUACAUGCAUAUAAAGAUAAAAUAUCAGAAAUACCUAAGAAUCUACUCAUAUAUAGUACUAAAUUAUUUAUGUUUUACAAAAAUUAUAGUGUAAUCAUGAUCAUAAAGCUUAGAACUAUAUAUAGUACAUGCCCUCUCUCAACUCAAGAUUCGUGCUUCGAGAACAUUGAAGGAACAAUGUCCUGAAGAAGACCAAAGUCAACACCCGCAGGUUGAUGAUUAUUAUUAUUGUAACUAGUAAUCAUCCCAUGACCAUGAUCGUUCGACAUAGAUCCCACUGAUGAUAGAUAAUUGGCAGGAGGAUGUUUCAUCAUGAGAAACUCUUGACGGUGAUGAAGAGGGAAGCUAUGGAGGAAACUGCUUCCACCACCACGGUGACCUAAUAGAUGUUCAGCGGCCACGGUUCCUCUCAACGUCGAAGGGAUCGGAUGGUUGUGUUUUCCUUCGUAUGUUGUUAUUACGAUCGACGGAUCUUGAAACGAUCUUUCUACACGUUUUUUUACGUUGCACUUCUGUGUUGUGCACCUAUAGUAACUCCUGUAAGCGCAUAUAUACAUAGAUAUAUAUUAUGAUAUGAUGAUCUAUAAAUAUAUGUAUACUCGUAAGUCGUAACAUGUAAAUGCAAGGACAACGUAAAUAAAAUGUAUGUGGUAGUGAGGAAGGGAACCUUGGAUAAGGGCUGUUCUUGACGGCCUUUUGUCCAUAUUUUCUCCAUCUAUAGCCAUCUUCAAGAUGAUCAAUCUCGCUUUUGGUCAUAAAUGCAACUUUAGCUUCUCUCUCUUUCUUCUCUCCUUUCUUUUUACCUUGUUUUGUCCUGACCAUACUCAUCAUCCACCAACAAAAUAUCAAUCUCUAGGGUUUUAACUUUGUAAAAAGUUUUAAUUCUUUUAUCAAGUGAUUGUUGAUGAUUUUCGUAAGCUUGAUCACAUUAUAUUAUCUGUCUUUUGGUUCAGCAAAUCUAGUUACGCAAAAAGAAGAAAAGAAAUAUGCGAGAGGAAGAGUGAAAGAAAUGUAAAAGGUUGAAAAAGCACUCACACUUGCUUGGAACUUUCACGAACACCAACACCAUGUUGGUCUCCUUCGUUAUCCUCAUUGGGGUUCUCUUUAGGAUCGGCUUCAUUAGAGGAAGAUGAGACCAUAGGAGAAUUCGAACUAAGAUUUAAGUAAGGGUUGUUUACUAUAUGGCCUAUAUUGGAAGGUGAAACCGGUUGAAAAGGGGAACCAUAAGGUGGGAAUUUAAAACCCUUCUCUAGAGAGUUAUAAUCCAUCACUAAUGAGCUUUGUAAGCAAUCGGUUAUACUCGUGAAUGACACUUCUUCUAAAUAUGUGUUCUUGCUCUCAACAUGAUCAUCCAUUGAUGAAGAGACGGAGAAAAAGAAGAAGAGGAAGAGACAUGGUUCUUCAAACUUAGGUGUUAGGUUAUAUGUGGACUUUGGGUGAUCAAGUCUUAUAAAUACAAGUCCAUUCAACUUUACUUCGAUGGUAUCUUUAAUUUAGUUCUGAAUAUUCAAUUACGGUCUUAAUUAUAUGUUUUUGGAGCGAUAUCAUUUGGAGAGCAUACAUAUAUGUAUAUUGGUCUUAAGAUAAUUAAAAUAGUUUCUCCAACACAUAAUUAAUUAUAUAAUAAACAAAAAUACCGAAUUAUAAUAUUAAUGUACGUAAUUUGAAAUUAUAGUCUCGCUACAAUGUGAAAUACAUAAUAAUUUGAAAGAAUUCAAGAGGGAGCUAGAUAUUGGAAAGUUUAAAAGGGUCAUAAUCUUUAAAGACUUUAGUGGGUAUAAUAUUUUGCUAAAAUAUCUUUGUGUAUGUGAAAAAGAUAGGUUUGAAAAUUUCAACUUAAAAUUUAAUUAGCUAGAGAGCUAUCUAACAAAAAAGUGGUUUCUAUAAAGGAAACAUUUAACUAUAUAUUUCUCUCUAAUCCUAUCUACCACACUAUGCUUUGGCUUUCUUUCCUUUCAAUCGUUUUGUUCUCUCUUUAUUUGUAAACUUAUGAUAUAUAUAAAUUAAAUCGAUCAAAUGAAUCAAUCAACGAUAUCUUUCGUAAAAUGGAAUCCAUAUCCAUAUACAUUAAUAAGGUUUAGUACAAAAAUCACACGCACGGUACAUGCAUGUAGAAUUUGAUGUCUAAAUAUAUGUGUAAUGCACAUAUGAUUAGAUGAUUUUUUUUUUUUUUUUUUUUUUUGUGUGUGCAAAUGAUUGGAUUUGUAAGAAGUAUAUUUACGUAGCUAGAAGUCCUAGUGAGGAAUAUUAAAAAUAAAGAUAAAUAGCUAGAGGUCAAAUGUAUAAAGGCAAUGUAGACAAUUUACAUCUACUUCCAACAUCUUUGCACUCGUCAAAAGCAAACUUUCUUGGUGAAUUAUAACGAAUCAUAUAUUAAUAUGCAUAAACACACACAAAAAGUCUCCAUUUUGUGUCUCUCUAGAAACCCUUUAUAUUGGGGGUUAAUUAUUACAAAUAACCUCCAUAAAAAGAAAAGAUAGCUAAUCUCUUUCAUAUUUAAAUAAGUGUUCUACCAAAGAGAUAAGGGUUUAUUUAAGUUAGAAAUUAAAUAAAUAUACCCCUUGCUUUUGGAGCUACAUUAUUGUUGUUGAUUCAAAGUCAGCGAAGACCAACUUGUCUUGUGAACAGUCAACGUCCUUCAAAGCAAGAACUUCACUUUCUUCAUUAUAUAUAUACUUCAACAAGACAAGUCUUAAACAUUAAUCUUAUCCUGAUAAAGUAUGUAGAAAACGAAUCUAUGAUUGGAUCAAAUAAUAGCAAGUAACAUUCUUAUACGCAAAUGAUUGGACCAAAACAUUAAUUAUAAUACUCUUAGCAUUAUUUGAGAUUCGGAACACAAUAAUAUACUAACCAUAUGAUAUAUAACAUUUCUAUAAAUUGUUAGAAACGUAAAAGGAAAAGAAGAGACGUAUAACGUGGAAGGAAAUGGCAAUGUCUUUGACCAUUAAGGUCAGCAAAGUCGUGCAUGUUACUUGCUCUUCCUUUUUUCUUUUUCUUUAAUGUCUUUGAUGAAUGAUCCAUAAUGACCAAAGCCCUAUGUCAUGUUAUGUAUUUGGUCCUUAAAUUCUUUUUUUUUUUUUUUUUUNNNNNNNNNNUUUUUUUUUUUUUUUUUUUUUAAUGUAUUUGGUCCUUGGUUUCUUAAUUAAAGUCUAUAAUUGCCGCUUUGAUAUUUAAUAAUCACUAUAGUAGUGAUGCAUACUUUAAAGUCUUGAUUGUAUUUUUAAUCACUAUGUGAGAGGUCGAAUUGAAGUGUUCGAACACACUAAUCACAUUCGUGUUGUUAUAAUUGUUUAAGUACAAGUAUAAGUAACUAACCUUAAAAAGGGUUAAACCCAAAGUAUAUAGCAUUCUUUUACACAAAAGUGUUCAGGUGGGAACAGGUUCCACUUCUUUGGAUGAAGGAGCCAAAAAAAAGCAUUCGUUCAUUAGCUUUUCGUUUUGUCAAUUAAAGCACUAUAAUCGGAGUUUUGUGUACGUACGUACGUACGUAGCAUUUCUAGUUACUUUUGUCGAUUACUUGAUUAUGACAGAACCAAAGGUGUUUGAUUAGUCAAUUAGACGUUUGGGCUUAUUUAGUUAUUAUCUUUCUUUCUAGAAAACUUUUAAUCUAAAAAUUCAUAAUAGAUUAUCAUAAUAAAAUUCAAAAAUAGUACGAGAUUAAUUCAUAGGUAUAAAAAUUUUGUGGAGACACUUGCACCGUUGUUGUCGCUUUCUCUUCACCCGUUGACUAUUAUCAUAAAGGAUUUUACAUAUAAAUUCAUAUUAUUAGUUCUGAGUUCUAAUCUGUUUUAUAGACAAACAUUUGUAUUUAAUUAUAGGGAAAAUAACUAAUCUAUCAAAUGAAUCACUAAAUACAUAUUAUUUUUUUAAAUUGUCUAUGUAUGUCGUGUGAUAUAUUUAGUUUCACAAGUAGAUGUACGUAAAUAGAGCUCUAUCGUUUCAAAACUAUACAGUAUCAGUUUCAAUUAUAUAACUAAAAAAAAAACAUGAACUUAAGAACGUUGAGCAAAAACUACUCAUAUAUAUAUAUAUAUAUCUCAUGUCAGUUUGAGAAGAAGAAAAUAUUUUAAAAAGGAACCACUAAUGUCAAUUAUAGUUCUAGUUGAGAGUGAGUGUGACACUAAUUAUAAAGUUAUGAAUAUGUUUCGACGUUCAGAGCAGGUAGGUACUGUGUUUGGUAAUAAUAGCUCUCUAUUUUAAUUGUUAAAUGUCAAAUCUUAUUUCAUCUUCGAGAUCUCAUUAGCUCUAAAAAUUAUCAUUUACUUCUUUUACAUGUCCACGUAUCUCACGUUUCUCAUUCUAAAAAUAAAAUCGAUAAUUUGUUGACUGUUUUGAUUACACUUUAGUAUCAUAAAUUAUAAUUUGUAAUAAGUUAAACUUUUGUAAUUGAAAUCAAAUAUUAAAAUGCUUAUAUAUAAGCUAUAUAUAUGCUAUAUACUGUAUGAGAUAAUAAUAUGAACAUAACAAAAGCCGACAAAAUAAAAAAUAAAAAAGAGAAAAUUAUACUCUAUGCCAUGUACAGUACAAAAUGUUUUAAGAAUUGCCAUUUUCUUUAACUUCUUCUCCCGCCUGCCACAAAUCAAAAGUAAAAAGACUCUUUUAUCCUUCUUCCUUUCUCACAAAAGAAAAAAAUAAAAUAUUGUUUCUUUCUCUCUCCACACCUCCAGCAUUUUCUCUCUCUCUGCAUUUCUUCUCUCUCAAAAUUUCCUUCUCUCUGGUUUCAAUUUUUUUUUCAUUAAUAUCUCACACCAAUAGUAACAUCUAAUGGAAGCCAAAAGGUUGGAGAAAGAAAUUAUUUCGACCACAACGAUGAACAACGAUGCUUUUACUGUAGGUAGGUAUGUGAUUCACGUUGGUGACCAAAUCAAUUUCACAACUACAUUUUGUUUUUGUCUUUCAAUGGACCAGAUCUGGUGAACUAGAACCGAUAGACCAAACUUGUCCAUCCUACAAAUCUCAUGAAACCACAACUGAUUGACCAGAUGAUGCAACAAGUAAUGCAUCUAUUGAAGACGUCAUUUACGAUCCAUCAAGAUUUACACUUUGGAUAUCACAUUUGUGUAGAGAUGGACUAGAUCCGGUAGACUAGAUUCAGUGGACAGUGGACUAGAUCCGGUGGACCAGAUCCGAUGUAUGUAAUAUAUCAAUUUUUGUUUCUUAAUUUGUUGUAUAUCAUACGUAUAUAGCAAACUAAGUCCAAAUUUUUCAUAAACGAACUUGUCUAUAAUACAUAUGUUAGAUGGAUGAACAAAAAAACAUGUCCACAAUCGAUAGACCAGAUCUACUGCACAUAUCAUGUCCAUAAACACAAUUGUCCAUAUAUAGCAUUUAAUACUUAUCUAUUUUUAUUUGUCCUUUACCAGUUUAAGAAACCUUAUCAAUCCUUGCCGGAGUACAAUAGCUUACUCACCCCGAGUCGGAGGAUGUAGUGGAGAAAUCCCUCAGAACCGUUAAAGUAAGCUUUCGAUAGACCAGAUAUACUUUAUAUAUUUUGUCCAUCACAUAAAAUUUCAUUUGUGUCCUUUUUGACAUUACUUUAUAGAUUGUCUAUCGACUAUAAUGCACACAAUGAUAGGCAAGUGGACACCCCUACACAUCCUUGAUUAUCUUGUCUUGUCCACUCAGCUAUUAAACUCGGAAAUCACUACUCCUUCUUCACCACCCACACCGUCCACAAAAUCUCUCCUAUACUUGUCCUCCAUUAACACUACAUAGAUCUGCUUUUGCAAUUUCUUAUUUUUGUUUUGGUUUUAUCACUCACUAAAGCAUUUGUCCUCUAGAUAUUAGCAUACAUUGUAGCAUUUAAUGCUACUUUACCUGUCCAAAAAAAACAUCCCAUCAUGUUCAAUUUUUGAACACUAGUGCUAUUUGAGCUUCAAAUUGGUGAGGGCAAAAUCGUCACAUAAUAAAUGUUAUGGCAUGUUUUAAAAGAAAAGAAGAAAAAUGGCAACUUUAAACUUUUGAGUUUUGAAAGUGGCAUAGCCCACAAAAUUCCCAAUAAAAAAAGUAUUAGGAAAAAUAAUGAAAUACAGAAAUCCAAUGAGUGUAAAUAAAUUCAAAAGUCAAGAGUCAAAAGUCAACGUUUAAGCUCAGUUGAAUUCGAGAUUUUUUUAAAGUUUCAACAUCCACUCCACUAAUGUCAUUUUCUAAUAAGCACUACUGUAUUUAUUUAAGAAAGAAGAAAAAGUCUUUACGUUUAUAAUUUUUGUUUUUUUUUUAUAUAUAAUCUGAUUGAUAAUUGUACGGACCGUAACACACUUUUGCAUAUUAAAUGUAGUUUAUUUUUUGUAACAGUUUAUUAAAUUUUUCAAAGUAGCCACUUCAUCACUGUAGAACUUCGUCAUACGUUAGGAUGGCUACAUAAUCGAAUGAUGAUGAUGAUAUAUAUAUGUAUGACUCUCAUCUUCUAUGGUCGAACGAACGAUGAGUCUCGAUAUGUAUCUACGGACUCCAAAAUACUUCAUUAUCUCCAAGAAAGUUAUUGUUUCAAAAAUAAACCUUUUGAAAAAGAAGAGGACGACGACGACAACACCUUUCUCCUCGAUUCUUUUGAAGUGAACAACUACCCACUUUAGUUUUGAGUGUCAAAGUGAACUAUGUAGCAAGAGCUUUUAUUCCUUUUUUCUGUUAAUUGUUUUUGAGAGACCAAGUCUUACAUUUGCAUACAUCUGAUCUAUGUAUUGGUUACAAUGUCCCCCUUUCUAGCAGCAUUCAAAUUUAAAACUAGAGCAUUUGUUCUAUUUUAUCGAGAAAAAGAAGCUAAUGACUUGAGCAAAUCAUGAAUCAGUAGUAGCAUCAAAAUUACGAACAAGUAGAAUUAGAACAGAAUCAGUUUCUUUUCUAAUAAUAUUCAUAUCAAUAUCAUUUUAACAGGCAAUGCGAAUAGAGAGAGGAAGAUGAAAGACGAUAUUUCACAUAGGAUAUGCCCAUAAAUAAGAAUGCAGAGUGUUUUUUUUUUUUCAUUCAUUCAGUUUUACUUUGAAAUCUCAUGUCAAGCAUCUGGAAAAUCAUCAAAGAUUCACUCACAAUAAACAUAUUUAACAGCAACAUUUUAAGAUGUUCUUAGUGCACUCACCAACACAACUGUGAGAGAUCCCCUCCCCAUAGAUGGCUGUGCAAAGUACAGCAUGAUGUUCUUCUUCCUAAUCGUCAUCCACCCCACGGCGCCUGUGGAUCUGUAAACACAUCCGAGAUUAACUUAUUAAACUCAAUGAUAUUGAUGGUUAAGGUAAGAUCUGUUUUACUUGUCUUUACCGUGACUUUCGUUUGUUUGGUAGUUUGGCUGUUUAUUUGUUCCAACAGUGUUAUAAGCCUCUCCUCAGAAACCUGUAAAGCAAACAGAGUAUUUCAAUAAACUCUUAGAUGCAUCACACUUACUCAGACUCACUGACUCUUAAUUGGGUAGAACCAGAUCAUACGUAGUAAAAUUUUAAAAAUAUGACAUGGAAAAGUGUAUGGAUCUUGUUUACCUUUUCAACUAUUUGUCCCAUUUGAGCAGCCCUCAAAAUAACAUCCUCAACACCUCUAGCUUUCUCAGGUUUUACCAGGGCAAUUCGAGCAACUAUAGAGGAAAAAAAGGAAGAAAAAGAACCAUCAAAGAUAUAUAAACACAAUAUUGUGUCUCUCUCGAGCUUAGGAAGAUCAUCACAUUAAUUGACAUAAUGAAGGAUAAGGGCAGAGUAACUAGAUGAGCUCCAACACAUAUUAGAUGAGACUUACUUCUCUCUCGUGCUUGCGAAGACAAUAUUUGACUGAGCAUCAUUUGUCUACGUUCAUCAGCUUCCCUACACAAACGUCCCAAUCAGAGAAUACGUUAGUUCAAAAAUAGAAUUCCAAUGAUACACAAUCACUUGUCAGCUAAUUCAUUUUCAACUAAUACACAACGAUAAACACCUUUUAGCAUCAUCCUGUUGUUUCUCUUGCUCUGGAUUCUGCUGCUUACCCUGCUAAAUUAUACAGUUUCGUGAAGAUCUCUAAAUGGAAAACAAGGCACAAAAGUACACAUUUUUUUUGAAGAAAUCAGAUAUCAGUUAAGGUAGUAAAAAACUAAAAAUUACCAUGCCUUGACGAGCCAUAAGCUCUUGCAUUCUCCUCUGUCUAAUAGCUUCUAGUUCAGGAUCCGCCUACACAUCAGGAAGUAAAAAAGAACAGAUAUAAACAUAACAAUGCAGUGUCACAAUAACUGAAGAUUAGUCAAUCAAAGAAAACAAUCGACUAGAGAUAAGCAAAUAUAACUCAAAUAAUGCCAAAGUGCAAUGAAAGUAACCAGAUAGAGAUGAGUAUAAGUUUUGAUCAUCAAUUAUAUCUAGGCGAAUACAAUGAUUUGAUUUCACUAAAGCUACUACAGCUCAAGAACCAUGAAAUGGAGAAAAGAAUCCUUUGACGGAAACCGAAUCAACAAGUAAAUCAGUGUGCAAAAGCAACAGAAUCCAAAGGAAAUAAUUUACAAAUUUAUGAUGAAACAUGGAAUCACACUCUUAUUCAAACAACAAGACAGAUUCAAAAAUAAAUUAAAAAACUCAAGCAGAUCCACUUAUACUGAUUCAAACCAUCAUGGAAUAUCAAAUCUCUAAACUAUCAAACUUGGUACUGAUACUUUGCACAAGGUUGUCCCAACUAAAGAUUGAAUCUAAUACCCAGUUUCAAUCAUGUAUAAUUGUUCAAAUCACGUUCUAACUUAGGCAUAACCUCGUAGAGAAAAUUCCCCAAAAACCCUAAGCAAUUCGAGUUUCCCAGAGAAAAAAAGCUAAUUGAAAGACGCGUAAAUAACAUUGGAGAUAUCAAUCUCACCAUUGGAGCAGUGUUCGUCUCUUUCCUCUGGUAUCCCAAAUCGAAAUCGCGCCUUCACCUCAAAAAGCCAACACAGAGCUCUCUCUCUCUCUCUAAAAGGAGAAAUGCUUCAAAAACCCAAACGUAGCUUUUGUUAGACGCGCUUCAUAUCACAGUCUGUCUCUUUUUUUACAUAUUCUCCAAUUUAUUUAUAAGUUUUACUAAUAAUAGCCAUAAACUUAUGAUUUCAACAUUUUACCCCCUUCCUCUAUCUAAACGUCAUAAUACGUAUCGUAUUUUAAAAUUAGUAACUAAAUUUGAAAUUAUAAAAUGUCAUCAUCCAUUAUCGUAUUUUGUUAACACGUAUCGUUCUAUUUUGUUAACACGUGCCAGUUUUUGGAUUUUUUUUCCAUAAAUUGUAUUACACUAAUAACAAAUCUCUUCCAACAAAUUAAGGAAACAAGUUGAGAAUGGAUUCGUCUAAGGGAAGCUCAGCUGCUAGUAUACAGAAGAUUGUGAUUCCCAACAGCAACAACGAGAAGCUGGUCGGUCUGCUUCAUGAAACUGGUUCUACUGAAGUUGUGGUCUUGUGCCAUGGUUUCCUAUCAAACAAGGUUAGUUUUGGUCUCAUUCUCAGAUCUCUUGUGGAACUACUGAGAUUUUGAGACUUGAUUCAGUUCCCAAUUAUAAACCACUUUGUGUUCUGUAAGAUUCAUUAAUAAACUCACUCAAGUAGCUUAUAAAGAUUCAUUAAUGAUUUAGUUGACCAUUUAGGGAUUUGUAGGCCAAAGGAGUUCUUACAUAAAUGAACUUGUCCUUUGGGUUAUGAACUUAUGCAGAAUGAUCCAGUCAUCAAAAAUGUUGCUGUUGCUUUAGAAAAAGAAGGGAUCAGUGCUUUCCGGUUUGAUUUCUCUGGAAAUGGGUGUGUUUUCUCUUGCUUGGUUUAUCAUUGUUUUUGCAUAGGUGAAUGAGAGAAUUUGGAUUUUGUUUAGAGAUCUUUGAGGUCAUUGCUGAAUGCAGAGAGAGUGAAGGCAGUUUCUAUUUUGGUAACUACAACUAUGAAGCUGAUGAUCUACGUUCUGUUAUCCAAUACUUCACUAACAUGAACCGUGUGGUUCCUAUAAUUCUCGGCCACAGUAAAGGUAACAACACAAGGGGUGUGAAUCUGACAAUUGCAAGAAUCUCAAAACUAUAUAUUUUGACAUUGCAUAUAUUGCAUAUAUAUAUAUAUAUAGGAGGUGAUGUGGUCCUUGUCUAUGCCUCGAGGUUUCAUGAUAUCCGCAAUGUGAUCAAUCUCUCCGGAUAUUCUGAUCUCAAGAGAAGCUUAGUAAUGCGUCUUGGUGAAAAUUAUUUGGAAAGAAUUACGCAACAGGGUUACAUCGAUGCUGAAGAAUGUAAUGUUAUCUCUCUCUUUACUUUUACUCUACAGUCUCAGAUAAGUAAUCUAGUGUGUCUUUUGUUUUAAUGUGCUGGUCUGUUACACAGAUAAUAUCAAGUAUCGUGUUACUAAGGAGAGUUUAAUGGAAAGGCUAAACACUGAUAUGCAUGAAGUUUGCCUCAAGAUUGACAAAGAAUGCAGGUGAGAUUGAUUCGCCGAGUUUUUGGACUAUGAAGAAACCAUGAUUGAUUGAAAUGGUGGCAGGGUCUUGACGGUUCAUGGAUCAGCUGACGAAAUAAUACCCUGGGAAGACGCCAAGGAGUUUGAGAAGAUCAUACACAACCACAAGCUGGAGAUUCUGGAAGGAGCUGAUCAUUGUUAUACCAAACAUCUAAGUCAACUAGUUACAACAGUUAUGGAGUUCAUAAAGACAGUCAUUGUCAACCACUAGUUUUCGUUUGUUUGUUUUUCUCUUUUGACUAAUGUUCAUGAUGCAUAAUACUGCUAUAAACACCACCAGGCGGUGACUGAAUGAUUUGCCCCGUAUGAUGGGUCUAGAAUCAUGGAACAUUACAAUCACACAACAGUCAUCGUUUGUCUCGGAGCACACAACAUUACUUAGUAGCAAGCACUUCGUUAGCUUGCAAACCUAGAAGCAAGUUCAGCCUCUACUUGUCUGUGGCUCGCAUCACAUGGAAUACAUGAAUAUAUGGUCAAAUGGUAAAGAAAAAGAUGAUUGCACAUAGAUAUUUAACAGAGACCUAGUCUUAAGAGCUUUUGUUAUCUCAAUGAUUCCGACAAUUUUAUAUCCUUUAAACAACAGUAUGGCAAUUGACAAGUAUCAUCUUAAAUUAGUAUUAUCAAUACAAAAACUGAUUCAGAGUUUGUUUAUUGGAUGAGAAUAUAAUCAGCAUCAAAUAUAUCUCCAGCUGUAGGAGAGAGGUUGUUUCUACGGAGCUGGGCAUGACUCUCUGCUUCGUGUUGAAAUAUCUUGACCACAUCUUGUAGCUCCAGCUUUCUAACUUCCACUUGUUCUUCUGUGAUGGGUUGUUUAAGCCCCAAGUACACCAGACCAACCGCAAUCAAAACACCUCCAAUGAGAAGCAUAAGGAUAGUGAACAAAAGAAACGCAUAAGGCGUGUUCUGCGCCCCUGGGAUACCAUCAACGUUGAUCCCAAACAGCCCUACAAUUAUAGUAAGCACUAGACCGCAUCCUCCAAAGACGGCCAAGUUGUGGCUUACUCGUAAGCUUUUGUCCUGAAAGUGUAAAUUGGGUUUUUAGCCAAAGAGAUCCAUUAUGCUAGAUGUAUGAGUCAUACAAUGAUAAUUUAGUUCAAGGUCUAGGAAGAACCUGCAACCAAGCGCGAACACUGCUUUGCAUAACAUCUUGAAUUGUGAAGAGACGUCCACGGACCGCUUCUUGUUCUUCCAACAUUUCUCUUGUGUUCUUCCUCAGACUCUCUAACAAAUGUCGAGGUAUGUUUCCCCUUAGAUGCUGAAGAAGCUCAAAGAUAAUCUCCUCUCUUGCGUGUAGUGACCACUUCACUCGGAUGACCUGCCAUGAGAAAACAAAGACUUCACGUUCAUGACUAUCGUUCAAUUUGUCCAACAUGUACACAUUCUGUCUCAAUUAUAACAUCAAAAGAGGCUUUGCCAACAAAAGACCAGUCAUAUUCCAUUUAAUUUGUAUUGAGGUUAGCUACAUUAAAAUAGAAGAUGACCUGUCUCGAUAACUUUCUGAUCUCUUGGUUGAGAAUGAUACUGAAAAGAUUCAAAUCCUCAUGGUUUCUCCUAAUAACAAGAAAAGAUAGAGUUUGUUACCAAAACAUGUAUUGUUUAUCAGCCCAAAAAAAUGGAUAUGUAUAUGUAAGAACCUGUUCAUAAACUUCAAUUCGAUUUCAUCCGCCGCACCAAAUAUGGAUUUACGGAACAAUCUAUCACCAAUCAAUGAAAACAAAAAGAUCUAGUUAGAUACAGUCUAGAAAAUAACAUUAUAUAUAUAGAAAGCAAGUCGCUUGUUUGGGCAGCAAAACUAGACAAGUCUUAAUUGAAGAAAAGAUAAAUCAGAAAUCUCUCGUCACCUAUCAUCCCAUCGAGAAAGACGGCAAGCCAAGUGUGCUAUGACUUCAUGAAUCGUCUUUGGUACAUUAUAUCCUCCUGCAUAAAGCAACUCCUAUAAUAUAAAAGUUUUUUUUUUUUUAACGUAUGUUAGUAACUGCAGGCCUAUGAUAUUUAAGCUUUAAAAACUUAUCAAGUAGAACAUUUUGACAGUUUCAAAAACAAACCUCUACUUCAGUGAUGCCGAGAACAUUAGUAUUUGAUACAUUUCCUUUUAUGUGCAUCACAGAUACCAAAAAGUUUUUCGCUUGCCAAGAGCGAAAUACAACAGGUACAUCAUCCUCACUGAUUACUGGAUCACCGACUGAUUGUCCUAAGAGCUCAAACAAUAAACCCCCAGCAACCCUCACUGGAACCUAAGCAAAUUAAUAGGAAAAAAAAAUUAGACAAAACAUCCACCAAAAUAAAUUGUAAUAAUCCGUUCAAGUAACAUGAAAAUCUUUAUUAUGUUAAGAGACCAUCACACAUCUUUUAUCCUAUCAAAAACCAAUAUAACGGCAGUGUUUUGAACAAGUCUGCCUAUUGACUGUAAACACUCAACUUGCAUGUUUUGAUUGGAAACAAGGGACAUAUACCUCAUAUAGAAGGUGUCUCAUCCGUUCACUUAUUAGCUUACUUUCAUCCCUCAAUGCGAGACUAAUCGCAGGAUGCAACCAUGUAGCACAUCUAAGCCAUCCCUCGACAAAAGAAUGUCCGGCAGCCAAGUGGCACCACCAUGUAGGGCCACCUGGUCGUUCCCAGUACGGAGCAGCUAAAUCAGUAACAGGGACAUCCUCUUCAUCAUCAAUUAACUCCAAGUUAGGCCACUCAGCGUUCACUUGAACCAUUUGAACAAGUUCAGAUAUCCUAGUCCAGCCAAUAGGAACCCAAUGACUCCCUUCAUAUCUCUCAUGAAGCACAUGAGCCUCUUUCAAAUCCAAAGAAGGUACCGACCUCGACCUUGAUAUAUCGACGAGAGAAGAAUCAACAAACGGGUUAUGACCAGGGGAAGCAUGUCUGGUUAGUCCAUCUUCAUGCUUCAAGCAACUUUUGUCCGGAUGUUUCGAGUCAACAUGUUUUUUCGGGCCUCGGAUAAACUCAAAGGCGCAAAUAAUCCCAUCAGUCCAAAGAUCACUCUUGGGAACACCUGAAUGGUUUUUGCUGUCAACCUUGUUGGAUUUGCUCUCUUGAGAAACUGAAUGAUUCUCCCCGUUUUCAACCAUGGUCAAAUCAAAUAUAAAACCUACCACAGCUUCUUCUACUGCAUGUAUCAAAAAUCAUCAUUCACAUCAGCAUCUAAGACAUAUAAUUUAAAACUCUCAGUGUAUGAAAUCAAAGCAGCAAAUAUAACAGGAGCGCCAAAUACUGCAAAUCAACAAAUACUAGAAAAUUACAUGCAAGAAACAGAAUCAGUGUACGGAAUAGCAUCAAUUCAGAAACUCUAGGUUUAAGAUCGAAUAUCUUUAUCAUCAUACAAAUCGUAUGUUUCAGUUAAAGUAACCUCUAGUAAGGGUUUUGGUAGAAACCCAGAAUUCAUAAUUAGAAAUAUCAAAGUUCAAAAUUAUAUAUAAACCAAAGAUGAAGAUGAUUGAGAUAAGUUAGAGAGACACAAAUCCAAACUGAUAAAGAUCAUAAAAAGUGAUUUUUCACUGGUAUAUAGAGGAUUUCUAGUUCAAAUGUGAUUCUCUAACUUAAGAAACAUGAAACAUCUCCAAGAAAAAUAAACAACAAAUCUCACCAUAGACGCAGUUGUAUAUCUGUUCUGAAGAUAUCAAAUCCUCAACUCUUACAGAGUUCGCAACCACACUGAUAAAGGAAUACUUUUCAUUUUAUUUUUCUUGACACUUUUUUAUAUAUUUGUUCUUUCUCUUUACACCCUAAUUAGGAAUACUCUACAAGCAAAUAGCGGCUUUAAGAGACGCGCGUCAAAGUUUUCACAUAUUAGCUCCAAAUCUUUUAGAUUCUUACAUAUUUAGCCAUAAACUUAUGAAUUGUUACAUUUAACACCCAUCACUUUCAUAAAACUCUCACCGGAAGUCUCUCUGUUCCGCAACCGCUGCGACACCAAUGAGUCGGCUUUUGCUUCCUAAACUUUUCUUAAUCUCUAAAACACAGGUUAACCAAAUUAUCUCUCUUUCUUCGUUGUAUGUGUGUAUUAUCAGGAUUUGCGUGUGUUAACCUCUCACAUUUGUUUUGUGUGUGAUCACUUUUUAGGUUCCAGCUGCAUCAUUGUUCCAUAAUCUGUACGGACGUCACAGACGGUAAUGAUUCUGAAAUUGGUUUUAAUACUUAACCUGGGUUGGAUAUGUGUUUAUCUUUCAGGUUUUUGUUGUUGUUGUUGUGGUUUGAAUCUGAACAAGUGAAAUCGAAUUCACUGGUUUGUUUAAUACCUACCUAGAGCUUCUUGUGUAGUUUUGAUCAUAUGUAAAUGAACAAGUUCAUUACUUUUGUUGUAUUUGAUGUUAUUCUCCAUUUGAUUGAGUUACAUAGAGGACAAGUUUCUCUGGGAUUUACACAAGUCUUAGCAUGUAAAGAUAAAAUAUUUUUGGCGAUUUUUCUUGCAGCUUUGUUCAUUGGAUGAGUGACAUGUCACAUGAUGGUGUAAGAUCAUCCACAAUUGGUGGUUCUGCUUCUGGAGCUAGAACAUUUUGCUCCCUAGAAGGUAAAACAAUUAGUCAGUCAUUCCAGCUGCUUUACAACUUGAUAUUUGAAUCAAAAUUUGCUUGUGUUUGUAGGGUUUUUGAUGUAUAUGAACCCGAUUGAUUGAGUUCUAUAUCGUAUGUGGCGAACAUAUGUCCUCUUAUAGAGAAAUUAUAUUAGGCAGCCGGAGCUUUUUCUGUAAUGUAAAACCAGCAAAUGAUGAUAACUCAGCUCUGUAUUAGUAGAACAACUUCUAUUGGAGACUCCUUAGAGUCUUCCAUCUCUAUUUUAGAUAAAUCCGUGGUGAAUUAGAGGCAAGAUGAUGACAAGGCAGGAAGAAUAUGUUUCAGAUAAGUGUCAUUCGUCCAUUGUGUAACUCAAUGGAAAGACAAGAGUUACACUAGAUAGACUUUAAGUAUCAGUAUCAUCCUUCACAUAUCGUUUGUCAUAUCAUAGGCCUUAGCUAAAGUAGUUUUCUGGUGUAUUACAGUAAAUUUCAACUUUUUUUUCAUGUUGUUUCUAAAGUUUUGGUGGAGAUUGCUAUAAUUUCCUUGUUACUGCCCUCAUGAACAACUUCUUCACCCAAUUGGUUAAAAUAUGGAUUUGAUAUUUAUUUUCUUCAGCAUAUGUAAUCAAAAACUCCUAAAGUAUGUAACUUUUUCACUAAUAUGGUAUUCUGAUUUUAUAUUUUUGGUUCUUAGAUUUAUUAGCCAAAAAGUGUGUGCCAUGCAAUUCAAAGGAUCUGCGGCCCAUGACUGAACAAAGUGCCCAGGAUCUACUUCAAAAUGUAAUAUGUUAGUAUUUCUUGUUAUGGCUGGUGAGGUCUAUGGUAUGCAUCCCUCCUCAAUUAUUCCUUUUACACAGGUUGCUGGAUGGAAUUUAGCCAAUGAAAAUGAUACAUUAAAGCUGCAUCGGUCAUGGAGAGUGAAAAGUUUUACAAAAGGGCUAGAUUUCUUCAAACGUGUAGCUGAUAUCGCUGAAUCAGAAGGUAAAUAAAUCAUCAGCAAUACAUCACACGUGUUCUGUGACCCUUCUGAAUAAGAUUUUAAAAAGAUAGCUCAAGGAAGACCUGUUACUGUUUUAUCUCACGCAUGGACUGGUAUGAUGCAGGUCAUCACCCAGAUUUGCAUCUGGUCGGCUGGAAUAAUGUGAAAAUCGAGAUAUGGACACAUGCUAUAGGUGAGAAUCAUAGUCUUUGUUGUUGAUAUGAAGAUAUGAAUCAUAUAUUAAUUGCCUGAACCUUAAGAAGCCCCUCAUCCGACAACUAUUUAUUUUGUGAACUUUAUAAGUUGCUAGUGCAGACUAAGUCUUAAGUGAUAUUGGAUUUUCUUGCAACAGGUGGUUUGACGGAAAACGACUUCAUUCUUGCUGCUAAGAUCAACGAGCUCCAAGUGGAAGAUCUUCUGAGGAAGAAGAAAGUUGCCAAAUGAAAUGGAAUUGAAAUGAAUUCUGCAAGCUAAAGAAACAUAGUAAAAGACUACUUCAGAGUUCGACAUAAAUAAGCAUCUUGAGCUCUUUAUUGGGAUGUGUUGGUCUUAAAACUCUGUGAAGUUUACCCGAGCUAUAAAUCUAUGUAGGAUGAGAACAAAAUGAUAGAGAGAUUAAUGUUCCUUCAGCGUAUGUGGUUCUUGUAAACCAAAAUCUCAAACCCAUAAAAUGAGGCAGUGGCUUUAAGUUUGUAACAAGUAUCAUUCAUUCCGGAACAAUUUAUAAUUUUAGAUAUACCAUAAUGUUAUAUAUGUUUUAUUUACAACCACAAAGGCACAAACUAUCCAAACCUCCAUAAACUAUGUACAUUCAAGAAUUGCAUGAAUCUAUAUACAGGAUUGUUGUCAUUCUUCCUAAGAGAUGAAUUCAACAAGUUCAGUCUUCAGACAACGAAGGAAUUGCCGGAGACGGAACAGUUUCACUGCACACCAACAAGAAAUUUUCCAGGUCAAUAUCUUUUCCAUCAUUAAAGUCAGUAUUACAAAUUCCCUUCAACUGUGUUAAAAUCACCUCCCCAUCUUCUGAUACAGAUCACCUAGCGCACGGUAGAGAGCAGCAGCAGCAGGUGGUCUUGGCAAAGAGCCAAGGAGGAUGUCCGACGCAGCUAGGGAUUGGCUCCCAUAGAACCGUGAAUUCUCACUUGUACGUGUCGUGAAGAUGCUUCCUUCAAGCGAGCAUCCAACAAAUGCACCUGUUCAUUUAAAGAAGGAUAUACAGAUUAAUUAUGAGGCUUAGUUUAACAAACGAUUUUUAGUAGAAUUAUUGUAAUGGUUUCAGACCUAUAGUGGCCUAUAAAAUCUCGUUUUAGACAUGGAAGGGAAAAGUCUAAAAUCCAUUAACCAAAAUUAAGCUACUAAAAACUAUUUUGGCUAGAGACACAUGAAUCAGAUGGUUACCUUUGCUGCAGCUGUAGGUAUAGCAAGCAGCAUAUCCACCGCUACCUGCUCGGAUAUCCGCUUCAACUGCUCGUCCAGUCACACCAACUGCAGCGCUUAAACCAGCUCCAACAACUAGAUGGGUGUUACUCCCAAACGUUUGGAUGGCUUCACGAGUUCUCAGAACGAUAAUGAAGUCUAUAAACUCUCCUCCUGCCUACAGGUGAGUGAUGAGAAUAUAGAACAAACACUAUUUGCAAUAUCUACUGAUUACUAAAAGAGCUACGUUACCUGAGCACCCCAUCCCAAACCAAAUGAAGAAAUGGCGGAGGGUGGAGACCAGGAGCCAUCAUCUCUACGAGCAACCACAAGUCCAGUCCCAAUUUUGUAUGUAACCAUAACUCCAACUCUGGCAACAGUGAUUACUGCAAGACCUUUUGCUUGUCUUAAAAUAGCAUCUGGGAUGGACCUCUCAGUUCUUGAAGAACCAACCUGUUGAGAUUAAGAUAGUUUCAAAUUAAAGACACACACACCGCUCUUAGAAUUCCAGGUAUUUCAUGGACAGAGACUAGCCGGGCAUUUACGCAGUGAUAUAAUUGAAAUAUAAGAAUGCUCACAAAUUAAAAUAGUUGAUAGUGAGCUCAGGACCCACAAAUCUCACCUUGGUUAUAUAACCCCGAAUAGUGUUUGUUGCCUUAUAAAUCUCAUACUCCAUGGAUUGUCCCCAUGGAAAAUUCACCCAAGACCUCAAUGUACUAAGAUCUGUCAAAUCAUGGGUUGGCAACUGAGCAGCAGGACUCACUUGGUCCAUCAAAUAAGGCUGCACAGAUUCCAACCUCACAAAACACACAUCACAAACCCUUUGGGGAUCUGAAACACGAAACUUUGCAGGAACCAAGCUUCUUCCUUUAGAACAGUCCCUACAGAAUAUUCCUCCACAAUAUCGACAAUGAUGACGGGAACACAUAAUUGGAUGAAACCUCACACUACAUAGCAUACACGCAGAAGCGGCACUAUCUGGUAGCCACUUGGGUGGCUCAGUUUCCAGAAUUUCUCUUGCGUUACCAAAGUUAGCCUCGGUGAGAGUAUGAGCCAUCUCUUGCCAAGCUUGUUCAAGAAGAUGUCCGGACAAAAAAUUAAUGCCACAUCUCUCAAGAUUGCCAGAACUAAGAGCACUCGCUUUACCACGUGCUGCAAGCAACAUAUCAACUAUCACAUCCCACAUAGUUAACUCCUUGUCUUCAUCAAAUAUCUGGUUCCAUCCCAUAUCUCCUUCGGGGAAGUACCCACCAUUGAAACUAAGGCCUCUUGACCACUCCUCAUGAUCAGGUUCUAACAUGGGCGGGACUGAAACAGGUAUCCAAACCCCGGUUUCUUCAGAAAGCGGCGUGUCAUAGAAAAAAUAUUUACCGCGCUUUUGAUCAUCCGGUUCCAGUGUUUUGCUCUCUUCAACAAAGCCAUCACAUAAGCCAGAAUCAUCUUCUCUAAUAUCCUUUAUGCUUUGAUUAACAACGAUAUUACCAGCAUCAGAAUCACCGUGAGAACCACGAGUUUCUCGAUCUCUUUCAUCCUAUGAUCACCAUUUAACAAACCAUUUUCAAGCUUAAAUUUUAGACCUUUAACUUUAAUCAACAAUCAAAACUGAAACAGAGGUGAGAUGUCUAUAAGCUAACGAUCAUCAUAAAUAUUUACUCAUCCUCUAUUAUCACAAUUUUUUUUUUUGAAUUGAAGUGAUAACCCUAGAAAAUUUGUAUGAUUGCGUACAAAUUAGAAAGAAGUAAAUUGUGAGUAGAAUCAAAAUCGGUAAGCAAUCAAACUCACCAUAUCGUAGACUUGUUCUUCUUCUCGAUUGCGAAGCUAAUCUUCUAUUCUUACAAUUUUGAGUGAUUUUGGAGGAAACUCAGAAACACGACUCUGUUCAGGAAAAGAACGAUUACAACUUUACAAGUUAACACCGUCGCUAACCUUUCUGAGACGCGACCACAUAAUCAACAUAUACAUCUUUACUCAAUUUUACAGUUUAGUCCUCAUAUUUUCUAACUCUUAAUACAUUUGACACCAAACUAUCAUUAAUUAAUAUAUUUACCCCCAUUAUUAUUGUGGCAGGAGAGUAUGUUAAAAAUGUCGGUAAGGCAAGUAGUUAAUGUCUCCUCUAUGGGACAUGAUAAGCUCGCUUGGGUGGGUUCUACCUAUAGACUUUAUUGAGCUUAGUUAAAGACCUAGAGUGAAACAAGAUCAAGGCAUAAAUCUUGAUCAUGGAAAUCAUGUAUUACUUCCUUUGAUUGUUUGAAUUUGGAUAGAGUAAAUUAGGAGAGUACGAGCUGAUCUUGAUUGUGCAUUUAUAAGAUCUUUGUUGGAGAGCAAAGCAAAACAACUUGCAGGUUGAGGUCAAGUUCGGAAUUGGGAUUCUCGCGGUCUCAAGCCAAGUCUUGGGGGCAUGGCUAUGGUUUGGUAACAUAUGGAUUAUGUCGAAGAAAAAGUAUUUACAUGCUUAGCAGUAAAAAAAUUUAUAAAGUAAACAACAUUCAUAACCCCGAAACUUCUCUGCCUUCCACAAAAAUUACCAUACUAAGAAUGAUAUGAAUGCAUAAUAGCUACCACAGAAACAAAUGCGCAGAAGACACCAUAAUUUAUGUAUACCACCAUUUAAUCAGUCUCUCUCUCUAACAACAAUACAUCAAAUCUUGGCUUAAUAAUUCCCUAGUUCUUGUUUUGCAUAAAUAACAUCGUUACUUGUGUGAGCUUACAGCAGUGGAAAAAAGCUUUCUUGUUUGGAUUUGUCAAUGAGUUCUUAUCUUCCAAAUCUUCAACAACAAGAGUAAGCUGUAUGCUACAAACAUAAACUCGAGGAAAGUGUCCUGCAAAAAACAACACACAACUUUGGAUCAGGCCUAGCCAAUACAUCAGACACUAGACCUCUUUACAGACCAAACAAAGACACAAUAUCUAAGUUCCCUGAGACUGUAAAUGACUAAGAGCAGUUUCGGUAAUACAGAAACAAGCUUCAGAACUUAUCGCAAUAUAUGGAUUUGAACAAGCUACAACUUCGUCUACUUCUUAGAAUUUUAGCAUCACUUGUUUAGAAGGAAACCAAAAAGCAAAGUUCUACAAAGUCCAACAAAAGUGGUACGUACUAUCCAAAGCAAUAAAGAGCACACAUCCAUCUACAGUAAACUCAAACUACAUAUAUGGUUUUGAUCAAACAAUUCUCCAAAGUUAAGAGCAUUUGAUCAAACAGAGCAAAAACAUGAGGACUGAACUCAAACUCCAAAUUCACAAUUUACCUCACAAAAAAAAAGGAUUCAUCAUCUUGCAACAGGCUUUUGAAGCAGAGCCGUCAAGAACACUUCACCAUGUUUCGAAUCUUUUUUAUCAGCCACCGCCCAUUUCACCUUCUUAUAACCCAAUUUCCCAAUCAUCGGAGCAUAAACAUUCUCCAGAUCAACUUUUUUACUAAAGAACCGAUCCAACCAAAGAUAACCACCGCCACGAAGUAUCCGAUCCAAAUCAAAGAAGAAAAACUCCAUAACCGUCACCGGAAUCCACCGGUUCACCGCUCUUCCACAUCUAACCAAAUCCACGACUCCAUCAAACACCGGGAGCCUCUGCUGUAACGGCACAUGAAGCGGCACUAACCCUCUCAUCGCCACCGCUUCGCUAUACGGCGCAUUGAAAUUCAUCGUCGUUGUCAGAACCGUAACGUUACGAGCCUUCAUCGCCGCGGCGAAAGAACCAGUCCCACCGCCGACAUCGAUCCCGAGACGGAGAACGGAAUUGGCGGAUUUAGCGAUCUGGAGAAGCUGCGAGAUGGGUAAAUCGAGCUCGGAUUUGUAAACAGAGAACUGAGAUUUGGAUUUCUCCAAGGAGAGAUCGAACCCUAGAUCGGGGAAUUUAGUAACCAAACAAUCGAAGCUUUUGCAAGAGUAGUAAGACCAGAUAACAUUAGACUCAGGCUUCGAAUCUGACGGAUUCCGCGGCGUUCGGGAGAAGCAACGGCGGCGAGGAAGUGGGUGGCAGCCACGGAGGAUGAGUUUCUCGACGAGAUCGGUGUCAGAAGGACAAAGAGAGAAAGGAGUGUAGUUCAUAUACUCAUGGAGUAAGUCAGGGUAGUUAUGGCAAGAAGAAGCUAUAGGUGAGAGCUUAGAGUAGAUGAGAAGCUCUUUAGGUGCUGAGGAGGAGGAGGAGGACGCGGCGGUGACUGUAGAAGAUGAUUUGUCUGGUUGGUGAGUAGUGAGGUGGUUAAUGGCGGCGCGGAUUGUGUGAAGCUGACGGAGGAGGUGGUCGGGGACAGUGGGAACAGAGGCUUGCGUGGAUUUGACGGUGGAUUGGAAGAAAUUGGUGGUGGAGGAGAGGUGGUAGAGUGAGAGGAUGUUUGUAGCAACCAUUGCUACUAGUAGAAGCAAGUUCAAGCUCAUGGUGAAUCCCGCCAUUUCAGGAUCCAAGUUCUUGAAGUUUCUUGAUUUGGAGAAAGCUGAAUCUUGGGGUGGGGGAUUUAAUGGUGUGUCUUAAAGGCGAGAUUUGUGGGUUACGGUUUUUUUAGAAUCUGGGAGGUAGUGACACUUAAGUGUAAGAUAAGCUUUUUUCAUCUGAGGAGAGGAGACUCGAGCAAGUCAAAUCUUGUAGUAGUAGUAGAGACUAGAGAGAGAGAGAUACAAACAGAGAUCUGAGUUAGUGAGUUUAUUAGGUGUAUUUAUUUAUAUAAAGUAUUAUUACGAUGGAAAAGGGGAAUUAUCGAAUCCAAUGUCAUUAUUAGUGUUCUUUUGCAUGGGAGUGUAAUAAUCCUGGUGAAAAGUUGUUGGAACAGUAAAUAAAAGGGACCUCUUUCUUGGUUUUGAUAGGAGACAGACUAGGAAAUUUAAGCAGAUCUGUGAGUGUAGUAGUGUGUUCACAUCAAGACUGGUUCACAUGUCUUUGUCUUCUUUUUUUUCUUCUCUUUAUUGCAACAAGCUUGAAUCAUUAUGUAUCUUAAAAUUAGUGGUAUCAAGUUUGUUUUACUAGAUGAAGAAUACAAAGAACUUUUGAAUCCAAUGGAUAACACAGAUCUUCUAUCAGAAGAUUCAGAACCUAACUAUAACAGCAAACAGAGUUCUCUUUCUUUCUUUUUUUUUGUCAAAAGCAAACAGAGUUCUCUAAUCUUUCUACUUUACUACACUGAUUUACAAAAGGGGCUACCUUUCACCUUUGUGGCUUUGUCUAUGGUGUAACUAGCCGCUAACUUGCGCGCCCACACGCGUGAAUAUAUUCUUACGCGUGUGUAGAUUUGUAGGCCGACUCGACGAAGAAAGUCCGAUAUUGACAGGUCUCCCACUUUUCGCCGAGUUAUUACAGAGAAGCAAAUUAAAAAGACAAGUUUCCGAAAAUACCGAAGAGAAAAAAGUGUUUUUGGUUGUUGUUGGAGUGGUCUCGAUGCCGGAAUCUAGCUCAAGCUUCUCGUCUUUCCUUCUCCUACUAAUCAUCUUCCACCUCCUUAUACUCUGUCCAUCGUUUUCUUCAUCCGAAUCUGAAGUUCAUGUUUUAGAUCGCGAGCUGUUAGAGAAUCGUACGAAUCCGAAGCAGGGCAAGACUAUUAGGAAACCCAAAUGCUGCGAGAUGCGAUCUAGAUCUCAGUGCUCUGCUUUCCCUAGAUGCAGGUGGUGUCGUAGUGAAGCUCUCGACGAUUUGUGCUUCAGUAUAGCUGAAGCCUUGCGACUUCCAAGUCAAGUCUUCCUCUGUGAAUUAUAAAAUUAACAGGUUUGAUCUAUAUUAGGUUGUUGUAGUAGUUCUUGCCGGAGUUUUGGUGGAGUUAGAGAGAAAGAGAGUUGUGUUUCUGUCCAGAGUUUUUGGUGUUGUUGUAAUUGUUUUGAGUAUCACAAGUUUUGAAUUGUACUGGAAUCUUGAUCUUCAUAUCUAUUAUAAGAUUGCUUCUUUAUUGUUUCUUUCUUGUAUUUAACUGUACUGGAUCUUGAUCCUCAUAUCUAUUGGAAGUUGCUUCUUUACUGAUUCUGAUCAAUUUUGCUAACAAGAUCGGAUGAACUUGCCAUCGCUAGUAUACUUUUUAAGCUUGGAACAUUGUUAGAGUAAUUCAGUUUUGGAAGUAGCUGAAUUUUUUAAGUUAUUAAGGUCAUAUCUCAUCUUUGUACGCGUAUAGGAUUCUUGGUUCGUUUGUUUCCAAAACUGAACAAAAUAUGUUGCUUAGAUGCAUACAUAAUUUUAUAAAUGUAAACACCGCAAUGACGCUAUCGAACCCUUAGUGGAAAUCAACAGGAUUUGCAGCUUUUUAGUAUUCAAAAUGUUAUCAACUAGGUAAUCUGGUAUGUGUCCUGUAUGAUAUAUUUGUGUCAAAAAGGUUAUGGCUUUUUGUACUAAUAGCGUGUACAUUGCGGUUUGGAAUUGGUCAUCGCAUCACUGCUGCUUUUGGUAGCUAGGAGCACUGCUUUCUGUGGCCAAUUGCCAAAGAAGCUGCAAGCAGCUAAGGACAUAGGGAGCAAAUAUCUACUUAAAGGCGUCUACCAUUGUAAGUACUGUUCCAUACUUCCAUUAAUAAACCUUGUUAUUUGCAAUAGUAUCUCUUUCUGGAAAAGUUGUUUUGCAUUUCAUUACGUGACAAUAUCAUAAGACAGUUGGGAAAUUUCAUACUACAACUAAACCCUUUUUUAUUCACGAAUAUUUUCUGGUACAAGUGUGUCUUUUUGUCUUCGUUUUGUUUUCGUUUACAGUAAAAGCUCCUCAUAUAUGUAGGUGCAACAUUGAAGAAGGAAGUACCCUUUUCCAACGCAAAAACUGAUUACCUAUAUCAUCAUUCCCCCCUAUCACCCGAAAAACGACAAAGAAAAGGAAAAACAGAAAAAGAUACUUUAUAUGCAAAUUAAACGAGCUAGUUCGCCAGCAAAUCCUUCACUGCAUCCCUCAUAUCCUCAUAUGAAUCACAGCAUUCGAGGAACUCCACAAGUUUCAGCAAUUCUUGAUCUUUUAGGUCAUCCACAAAAGCCUUUAUGGGCACUCCAUUAUCUGGCUGUAAUGAGUAAGAAGAUGGGUUGUCAUCAACAAUCAAAGCAGUUCUGAGGUCUUUCCCCACUACCAAAGACAAGUCCUUUACAUAUUUCCCGUUCACUUCCGUGCAUGAGUCUCGAUAUAGCCUCUGUGAGAUCACAUGGUUCUUGUCUAGCUUAUCCAAAACCUGUGAAGCAUAAUCUUCUAGACCGGCUGUGAAAACCACCACUUUGUAACUUUCACCAAGUCUUUCCAAGAAUUCAGUCACACCAGGACGUUUCACAACAAAGAUAGGUAUUAUAUCCCUUUCCAUUUUCACCAUCACCAUGAAAUCAUAUUUAACUCCUGGAAGUUGUGUUGAUGAGUGAACCAACGUUUCAUCAAGAUCGAGGAUGAUUGUCCUUUUCAUGUUGGUAUAUUCUGUCAGAGGAUCCUCGGGUUUCUCAAGAUUUGUAUAGCCAUGUUUUGUGGCUGGAUAGCUGAUGAUAGGGCCAUUAAAGCACUUGGAAACACAACGCAGAAGGCGACAAUGAAACUUCAAGAUGGACAUCAAUGGGUAAGUUUUCUGUUGCUGUUUAUGGAACUUUUCUGGUAUUUUUUCGAUGAUUCUUUCAGUUUCCAUUGGCUUCUCCCAGCUGCUUGGUUCCCCAAUGAAGGAAAUAAAAGUUUUGAUGAACAAAAUAAGCUAGCGGCUUUUCAGACGGAAGCCUUGGUAGUGGUUAGGUGUUUCCGGAUUUACUUUCUGCUAAAUUUUAUACGUUAUUAUACAUUUCGUUUAGUUUAGUUUGUUUAUGUAAAUUUAGUGGCGAAGUAGAGAAGAUGGCCUACUUUUAGAAAAAAUCGGUUUGGGACAUUAGAGCAUAGUUUUGCUGUUUCAUGUAUCCAUGGACAUAAAUGUAAAUACAUCACGAACCAGCAAGAGAUACAUCAGAAGUUUAGUUAAGAUUUAGAGGUAUGGAGAUUAUAAUGGGAUUACAGUUGAAGUAUUUCGCUGAUGCUUUUGUUGCUACUUCACAGCUAUGGCUUUGGUGUACCUGGUGAACUAGGUAAACUAUAUAACCUGUUGGGAUUUGUUUCUAACUUAAAGUUGUUUCUGUUUUACAUAAUUUUUUCACAAUAAACAUAAAGAAAUAUAGUAUAGAAUCACUUAUUGAAUUUUAUAAGGUAUAAUGGUUUAGGUUUCAUUUAUUGAAAUCAUUCGUCUUUAGUGUCAAGUCCUAAAGGGCUAAAGACAAGAAUGCAAGAAUAUCUUAAAUGAGUUUUAUGGGUCAAGCAUGAAAAACUCGUUUCUUCAAGAGUGAUUGCUCUGUGAAAAUGUCUCAAGCAUAGAAAGUUUAUAGUCUUAGCGGUAACGUUGGCCCGAGUCGUUUUCUUGCACUCAAUUCUUGAUCAUUGCUCUUGUUUCCUUUGUCCAACAGAAUAUCUAGUAAUAGAUACUUAAAAGCAUUCAAUAUAUGCUUCGAAACCAGUUAAGAUUACUUUCUUAUAGUAUUAUUUUUCUUGUACUUAAUAUUUAUGUUGAAGAUAGAGUCUGUGGGUACUUAUUUCUUGAUGUUAACAUGUAUUAGUUAAUUGCUAGUCCAAAACUUUUUUUUUUCUUUCUGAAUUUUCUUGGUUACAUGAUACACUUUUGAAUGUUCUGAAGAAAAAAAAGCUUACAAUUUUAUGUAGGGGCUUUUUAUGUAGGUAGAAACGUUGAAGAAGGAUAAGGAAUCCUUUUUCAACACAAAAAUACCGUUUGGCUGUAUCAUCCCUCCCCAAAGAAAAUCAACAAAAAGAAAGAAAGAAUCCCAAAAAAUUGAAGACAGGUUCUGCAAACAAAAUUCACAUAUAUAUGUGCAUCAAAUCAGCUUGUUAGAUAGAAACUCUGUUGCUGCAUCCCUCAGAUCUUCAUACUGAUAACAUCUGUCAAAGAAUUCCGCAAGCUUCAUCAGUUCUUGAUCUUCCAUGUCAUCCACAAAACGCAUAAUGGGAACUCCAUUUUCCGGCUGCAACGAGUAGGAGAAAGGGUUAUCAUCAACUAGCAGAAUACUCCCGAGGUCCUCUUUCGUUACCAAAGAUAAGUCUUUAGCAUAUCUUCCAUUCAUUUCUGUGCAUGAAUCUCGGUAUAGCCUCUGUGAGAUCACACGGUUCUUGUCAAGUUUAUCCAAAAUCUGUGAAGCAUAUUCUGGUAACCCGGCUGUGAAAAUCGCCACUCGAUAAUUCUUACUGAUCCUUUCAAGAAACUCAUUAACUCCUGGUCGUUUCACCACAAACAUCGGUAUAACCGCUCCUUCGAUCCUUAUCUUCACCAUGAAAUCAGCAUUAGCCCGGAUUGGUGGUUCCAUUGUUGAGUGCACCAACGUUUCAUCAAGAUCAAGAAAGAUUGUCCUUUUCUUGUCAUUACGUUUUCUCAGAUGAGGCUGAUACUCGGGUUUAUGGAGCUUUUUGUAACCUUGUUUCAUGGUGGCUCGAUGGCUAGGAGUUGCACUGGAUGUGGUGGCUAGACAGAAAAACCUAGAGACGCAACGCAAGAGGCGAUUGUGGAAUGUGAAGAUAGACAUGUUGAGGGAUGUGAAGAUGGAGCCAGCUGCUGCAACGGCCGCAGCCGAACAUCUAGAUUGAUGAUGAUGAUGGAUGUUUCUCCCUCCAUAUUUAUUAUGACGCCCAAAUGAUUUCGGGGUCGUUUUCCCCAGAAAUCCAAGGCACGCCAUUAUCAAGAAAUCAGAGUUCAAAAGGGUGAGGAGAAUUCCUGGUUCUUUUCUGCAGCUGGCUCAAAUGGAAACUUGGAGAAAUGAUGAUAUGUAUAUAGGAGCUUUUAAGGUUCUAACAUCCAUGCUACUGGCUUUGGAACGGAAGAGUACUUGAUUUGGUAUAGUUUAGUUUGUUAAGGUUGUGAUUUAGAAAGGUCAAGUGUUAUUUUUAGCAAAAUAACAGUUUUUAGUCAUUGACAUAUAUAUAUAUAUUUGAGUUCUGAUUGUCUUUCAAUUGACAGCAUUAUAUAAAUGUGAAGACAGAAUAUUAUGGAAAAGAGUGUUGGAAACAAUAGAAAGGUUCAGAAAAUUUCAUGGGAUUACAGUUAGAAGUGAAUGACUCCUGCUUUUGUUGCUUAUAUACUGUGCCUGUGUCAUUUUUAGACUUUCUAAUGUUUGCCUAUCUUAAAAUUAACAUGUGUGGUCUUCUCUCAGAUAAUAUACACAGUGCUUUGUAGAGAGAGAGACUGAAAGUGUCCAUUAUAUCAACUUACCACAUUCGUUUAUAGGAGAUACUUUUAAAUUAAAACAUAUGUAAGAUAUAACUUUGAUUAGUAAGAAUUUACAAUUAAAUCAAAGAACUCUUGGAGCUAUAAGUUAAACAGGAAUUGAAAAUAUCGCUUCAGAGCGUUACAAACAUGAUCUACAGUAACCGUUAAAUCAUCAUCCACUUCUUGUUGGGUUUGAAGGUGAUCUGUUUCUAGGUCGUGUUCUUGGGAUGAUCAGAGGUCUGCAACAAACCAACGUGAAAAGCAAUUCUGUAAUGAACAAACUCAUGCUGAUCCAGACGAACAAAGUUUUCCGCCAUUUCCAUAUAACUUUUUUGAAGAAGGGAAGACCGGAUUCAACCGACAGGGAUGCAUCGUACAGCUCUGGAAUACCUGCUCCGGGUCGAAAUUCCGCUCUUUGUUCGAUAAUUAUCUUUAAGCAAGCAGUGGGAAUGUCCUUUUCUACAAAGCCUUUCAACUUCAAGCUCAAGGUUUGGAUCUCAGAGACAUAUCCUGUCACUAACGGAACCACUUUGAAGAAUGUCUGAACAAGACGGAUAGGCUCGCUUCUGAAUCUUAACAUGCAGGGACGCCUUAUACUCGAGAUCGUUUGACCAUCUGCAGAUAAGAAGUCCACCCGAACCUUCAACAAACACAUGGUCCCAUAUCAGAAUGGAUGAACAAACGCAUACACAUAAGAAACAAAUUUUCUGUUCUUCAUAUUUUGCAUAGCUUUGUGACGUGCAAGGCUAUUAUAAGCCAGAGAAAUGCAAUGGUUAACGAGUGUUGGAUAAAGCUAAUGGCAAUACCUGAAACAUGCCGAGAUUUUUAUUGUAAGCAGACUCAGGUAAUGUCAUUGAAAGAGUGACAUCUAACUUCUGGUCUCGAGGUAUAACUCGCAAUCCCCUGAUCUUCGACAUUUCAUAACUUUCCUUGCAACUUCCCACACAAUCAACACCAGCACAGGAGGUUAUUGGCACAUAUGCUUCUGGACUAUUCUUGGUGUAAUCAAAAUUCAAGAUCUCCUUGAGUACAAAUGGUUCAUCCGCUAUACGGUUUAUCAUGAAACCACCAAUCAUAAGCGACGAAACCAACAAGCCAAACAGCACAGUGCCAACAUAAACAGCCCAAAACAUACCCCAUCCAAACUUGCACGCAACACUCAACAUUCGUUUGGUAUCUUUCAACCAACUCAACCUAAACGGAUUCAUAGUCCCAAAUAUCAUAUCACUUAUCACUGCAACUCUCGCCAUUAGAAACCGUCUGCCAAACCUAACAGUGCUAAAUGGAUCGAAAAAGAAGAGAAAACCGUACUGGAGAAACCAUGGUGGAAACGUGAGUAAGCUUGUCAUCAAACUGACUUGAAAUUCGAUUGCUUUGAUCACUAGCUCAACCAAAAACCCAAGAAGAGACCACUCUGAUGAAUUAGAUGGUUCACGAAGCUGUGUCGCCGCCAAUCCCGCGUAGCCGUCGUCUUCUCGGUCAUCAUCAUUACUGCUCACGGUGGUCACCGUGGAUUCUUCCCGAAACGGGUUAACCCGGUUCCGAACGGGAUCAGUUACAUUCAUAUCGUUCCCUCUAUCCUCAGUCACAUCCAAAUCGUUCUCUGUUUCCGGAGAUAGAUCAAUUAGGUCACUGGUUGAUUCAAUUACGUCGUCAUCCCCGUUACUAAGCUCCUCCCUCUUUUCCACAUUGACACCGACUUCAAAUCCAUCGGAAGAAGAAGACGGCUCGGAAGAAGUCAAAUUCGGGGGAUUUGCCGACUUGCGCCGGCGUAAAUGAGAGGAAUGAUGUAGACGGUGGGAAUUGGAACGGACCGGCAAGCAAUCGUAGUAAAAUUCGUCAGGCGCGUCAAGGAACCGAUCGAAUUCUUCGGUGGUGUUAGGGUUUGAUGAAGACUCGGAGUCGGACUCCAUUGAUUGAUGAUGAUGAUAACCCAGAAGAAGAAGGAGAUUGCGUGACUUGCGAAGCUUUCAAAUGCAUCGAUGACGAUAAGCGUGAUUGAUAAAUUAUCUCACAAACGGCGUGACCAAUAUUUUUCUUUUUUAAUUUUAAAUUUAUACGUCAUACUCGUCCAUACCAUAACCGGAGUGGACUAUCAAACCGGAUUAUUUAAUAACCGGAUCCAAAUUUUUUAAACCAAACCUUAGGAAAUUGGGAACUACGGACACUCUCAAGUCUCAAGUCUCAAUUUUCUACUAAUCUAAUACAAAAUUCAAUAAGUUGAGAUUAGAAAGAGAGAGAAAAAAUGAAUGUUUGGUGGCAUAGUUAGAUAGUUUCCCACAAAGAGAUGAUAGAGAGUAGUGUAGGAUACUUUUAAGAUUUUGCCACCAGCACUAAUUUUUCUUAAUCAUACAAGAAUCGUUGAUCAUGUGGAAUAUGAUUCUCCCUAAGACUAGUCCUUUGUAUUAGUUGGCUGUUGACUUUAUAUUUACUUAGGAGUUCAACCAAAUGAACAGCUGACUUUACUUUGUGAACUCAUCGACUUAAUUAGCUAUUUAAAUUUUAUUGAGCUAAUUAUUUUACUUUACUAUUUAUAACAAUUUUAUUUUUAAUUAACAAUUAAUUGUGAUUUAUCUAGAUUUAAGAGAUUUUUUUUUAUUGUGUUUGUAAUGUAGAUAUCAAAAUCCUUUAAUUUUAAGAGAAUCUACUUCAAUAGAAAUGAAUGAUUAAUUGUUUUUUACUAUUUUGGAAACCUUUUCAACUAAUAAUAAUUGUUCUUUUUUCUUUGUGCAACUAUUUUCGUCAUUCAUUGAUAACACAUCAUUCACAUUGUCACACAAUGAAGAAAAAAAAAGCUUAAUACUAUUUUUGAUAUAUAUGUCUUUUUCUAGUGGAUGAUAGAUAGGACUUUUGUAGGGUUAAUGAGUUUAUUUUUCUUUCUCUUUUUUUCUCUAAUGGGUGGGGGUUUUACCAUUCUUUUUUUUUUUUGGGUUCUUAAUACGUCUCUGUAAUUUCAAAAUUAUGACAAAUAAAGGAUGAACAAGAUUGACUAGACAAGUUCAAAAAAAACAUUUUUGUUUUUAAAAAAAGAACGAGGGGAUGAGAAGUCACUGUUCAUAGAUUCUAUUUUGUCAUAAUUCUACGAUUCCACUAAAACCAUCACACUUUGCCAAACCAACCCAAGAAAAAUCUCAGAUCUUCCUUUUACCAUUUUUACUAUUUUCGAUGAUACUUUGAUUUAGGGAGAUUUGUUGUUGCUGCAUAUGUCUGUGUAUGAAAUGUUUAUCAAGAAGAUGAAGAUGAAGAAGAAGAAGGAUGUUCCUAAUAUCUUUGCAUUCUCUGUUUUUGCAAUCAUUAUUUGCUUCAGAUUUUACGGUAUAAAUGCUAUCAAGUUACCUCAAGAAGAAGGUUUGUUCCAAGUUAGUUCCUUUCUGGUUUCCUUUUUUAAAAUUACUCCCUUUUUUUUUUGGAUUUGCUGAUUCUUUUUUCAAAGUUGGCUCCUUUUUUACUCUCUUUCUUUUAUUUUUGUUUGGUUGGUGAAGUUUCUCUAUACUGUAUGCUAAAAAGUUUUGAUUUUUUACAUUUUACUCAUUGGAAAAGGGAUUUUCUGAUUGGUCACCUGGAAAAAAUCUGGUGAAGUUGAGAUUUUUCAAGUAUUUUUUUUUUUUUGUUAUUGAAGUAGUCGAGACCAGAAUCUACAAGAGGAUUAUAUAAUAAUCUUGAUUAGGUCAAUUUUGUGUUUAUUAAAUCAUGUUUUGAUUGAUUUCGAUUUGAACUCGCUUUGAAAGAACUCUUAUUUUAGGCCUUUCACAUGAUGAUGAUGAUAAUGAUGAUGAUGAUGAUGAUGAUGACAAAUUUGAGUAAUCAUUCAUAUUUUUGGUGUGGAUGAAGAGGUUUAGAUAAAUCGUUUAGCUUGAUUUCGAUCCAUGUUUGUUCUUGCACAAGUUAUUGUUCUGAUAUAUGAUGCUGUUUUGCUUCUGUGUCUCUGCCUCUUUAGUCGAUGCUCUGCAGCAAAUCGCUAACACAUUGGGCUCGAGAUUCUGGAAAUUUGAUGCUGACGGUUGUAAGAUUGAAAAGGUGGGGUUAACCGAAACUCCUCCUCCAACAGCUAAGCAAGAGAUAGAAUGUGAAUGCAGUCCCACUAACGAAACUGAUUGUCAUAUUGUCAAAAUGUAAGAAUUUCUCAGACAUCCUUCAGAAAUUGUAUUUGAUCUCAAAGACAUUAUGGUCUUCUCUGUAUUUGGUAAUGCACCGUUGAUUAGUGAUAUUUACCCGUAUGACCCAUUUCACUUGAGUUUAUCUUUGGUGCAUUUUCGUGGUAGUGGCUCUUAUGCAUACUAUCUAGAAAUGGAGAUGACCAUGUUCUGAAGAAGAAGAAUAGUCUUUGCAACUUUGUAAUCAUUUUCUAAUUGCUCUUUGACUUGUUUGGUAGUGCAUUCAAGGACCAUAAUCUUCCAGGAACUCUUCCUCAGAUAGUCAAGCUUCCCUACCUUCGGGAGAUGUAAGAGCUCUUGUAAAAGUAUCUCAACCUUUCUUUCGCCUAGCUAGAAAUUUUUUACCAAUUGAAGAAGAUAAAAGCUGAUAAUUUUGACCACUGUUUCUUGCUAUAUUUUAGAGACUUGGCCUACAACUACCUCAAUGGGACCUUACCACGUGAAUGGGCUUAUUCAAAUUUAACUUUUAUGUAAGAACAUUCCCUAUUAUUGUUAGCUUUAGUGUCUAAAUGCUCUUGUACAGUAACAGACUGUCUCGGCAGAUCUCUUCUUGUGAAUCGGCUGUCAGGGGAAAUUCCGAAAGAGUUUGGAAACUCUUCGGCACUAACAUACUUGUAAGUCUGAAACAUCGGUCAAUCUUAUUUGCACUGCUAGGUCUUAGCAUAUUCUGAAGGGGAACCCGUUAAAGUUAUCAACUUAUCAUGUUGUAUGCUUAGCUAAACAAUUUGAAUAUUUUGGUGCACUUCCAGUUUGAAAUUUUUUUUAGCAUUCUCUACAGAUGUGCUAUUAUUUUAUUUUUGGCUGCUCUUGUGUAGGGAUCUUGAGUCAAAUGAUUUUUCUGGAACUAUUCCUCAGGAGCUUGGGAACUUAGUCCACUUGAAAACACUGUGAGAGUUUCUCAUUCCCUUUCUGUUCUUUGUUUCCUUUAUUGUGCCUAUAUUUUAGCGUGUGGUGUGUUUCUCAAGGGUGAGAUCUUUCUGGUGUUCAUUUCUUCUUCCAGGUUGCUUUCCUCCAACAAAUUGACGGGAAAUUUGCCAGCUUCACUAGCUAGACUACAGAAUAUGACGGAUUUGUAAGCUUUUAUUAUUUGUUUCCCCUAACUUAACUACUGAUUAUGGUGGACUUUGUUUAUUCAUCUCUGUUUGGUUUUUUCACAAUGCAGCAGGAUUAACGAUCUCCAACUUACAGGAACAAUUCCAAGUUACAUACAGAACUGGAAGGAACUCAAGAGACUGUAUAUUCCAUUUUUUUUUUUUUUUUUUAAAUUCUCUGUGUUAAUGAAGCACUCAGUGAUGGUAUUCUUUUCAUUCUUGUAGAGAAAUGAUUGCAUCUGGUCUCACUGGUCCAAUCCCAUCGGUCAUCUCAGGUCUGAGCAAUCUAGCUAAUCUGUGAGUAGAUACCACUCUUAUGAUGUUCAUAUUUCUCUCCAUAAACUCAGUUUGUUCAUCUAUAAUAAUGUAGAUGACACUUUUAUUACAUUGAUAUAUUGUUUUCAGGAGGAUCAGUGAUAUUGGUGGACCAGUCCAACCAUUCCCUUUGUUGAAGAACGUAACAGAAUUAUCUAAACUGUACGUCAGUUCUAUCAGAUGCUUUGUUGAAGCUGUUUCAUCUAUUUCUGAUUUAAUUUUGUUUUUUUUUUUUGUGUGUAUUUUACAUUGUAGGAUAUUGAAGAACUGUAACAUUUCUGGACAUAUUCCUGCUUAUCUUUCAUCUUUCAAGGGUUUGGAGACACUGUAAGCAUGUCUUCCAAAAUUUUUAUCAAGUCUCAAUGGUUCUUGGCAAACUACGUUUCAGAAUUAGUUGAUGUGCCACAGAAUAAUUAUGAACUUAAAGAAAAUGAAGAUUAGGUUUGUACAUGAAACAACGACAUGAUUGAUUAAUUCUUGUUAUGUUGGUCAAUAGGGAUUUGAGUUUUAACAAGUUGGUUGGGAAAAUUCCGUCAUUUGCACAUGCAGAAAAUUUACGGUUUAUGUAAGUGAAAAGAUUCUUACUGUCAUAUACGUUAAAUUUCUUUCUUACUUUUGACUAAGAAUGAUUAGUUGACUGGUUUUGCAGAAUUUUGGCUGGAAAUAAGCUAGAGGGAGAAGCUCCAGAUGAAUUACUAAGGGAUGGAAUCACAUUGUGUGUAUAUUUCUGGAGUUUGCAAAUUGCCUUUAAAACUUGCUACCUCAGAAUAGUUUGAAUUCAUUAUGAUAUCAAUUUACUUGUUUAUGCAGAGAUCUUUCAUAUAACAAUCUAAAGUGGCAGAGUCCUGAAAGUCGUUCUUGUCGGCCAAACAUGUGAGGAUAUACUGUCAUGGUUUCCUCUUUUACGCUUUGGUUGACAUAGCAUUUUAACUGAUAAUUUAUCCAACUUUUAUUGUUUUAGGAAUUUGAAUCUAAACUUGUUUCAGAGCACUUCUACAAAAAAAUCGUAAGGUCUUUUCUUUCGAUUAUGUUUAGCAUCUAGAUUCUGUAUUUGUGUCUUAAAUCUACACACUGGUUGAAUAUAUUCCACAAAUGAUUCGGAUAUGCAAUUCCCGAUUGAUGUUUUUGUAGGAGCAAAUUUCUGCCGUGCAUCAACGAUUUCAAAUGCCCUCGAUGUAAGUGAUUUUAUUCUUCAAAAAAUGUAUUCAAUUAGUACAAACACAUACGACUAGGAGGAACUGCAGAUCAUUUCAUAAUAGUCUCACAUCUGAAACCACCUGCUAGUACCUUCUACUUUAGUCCCACAUCGAUAUUGUUAUUUCCUGUCUUGCUGUCAUCAUAAUAUAUAAAUGUUAAUGUGGAAAAUUCACUUGCUUACUCUCUCUCACUUUAUCUGGCAGAUUCUAGCUGUUUGCAUGUGAACUGCGGUGGAAGCGAUAUAUAUGUGAAGGAGAAAAAGACAAAAGAAUUAUAUGAAGGAGAUGGAGGGGUUGAAGGUGGUGCUGCAAAAUAUUAUUUGAAGCCUGACGCUAAUUGGGGAUUUAGCAGUACAGGAGACUUUAUGGACGACAAUAAUUUCCAAAAUACAAGAUUUACCAUGUUUGUCCCGGCAUCUAACUUGUCUGAUCUAUACAAAACAGCGCGAAUAGCUCCAGUAUCCCUUACUUACUUCCAUGCCUGCUUGGAAAAUGGGAACUACACUAUAAAUCUAGAUUUUGCUGAGAUGCGAUUUACCAAUGAUGAAAACUAUAGCCGGCUUGGGAGGCGCUUGUUUGAUAUUUACAUUCAGGUUAGCAUUUUGCCUUAGCUGGUGAAGUAAAAGCGUCUUUGGAUGCAAUGUUUUUUUUUCUUAACGCCUCUUUUCGGCAGGAGAAAUUAGUGGCAAAGGACUUCAACAUCAUGGAUGAAGCGAAGGGAGCUCAAAAAUCUCUAACCAAAACUUUUACUGCCAAUGUGACAAACCACUUUUUAACCAUCAGGUUGCGUUGGGCUGGUAAAGGAACUACCAGGAUUCCCACUAGAGGGGUUUAUGGUCCUCUCAUAUCGGCUAUUUCCAUAUCUUCAGGUAGCUUUCUUAUUAUCGCCGUAGCCACGUGGAUAUGUGCAUCUGAUUUUAUAUGCAUUUUGAACUCUUUUCUCACCACAUUAAUUUUCUAACACCAAUACCUUCAAUGUACAGAUUCUAAGCCAUGCUCACGUCCGGAUACUGGAAUGAGCAGGGGAGCAUAUAUUGCAGUUGGAGUUGGUGCCCCAUGUCUUCUUAUCUUAAUCGUGGGAAUUUUGUGGUGGUGUGGCUGCCUUCCACUAUGUGGUAAACGACGAAAAGGUGAUCACUGCUUUUUUUCAAACUUUUUUUGCUUUUGAUAUGGAGUUGAUCAUAUAUAUAUUAAACAUUGUGAAUUUAUGUAAGAAACGGAAGAAGAAAGUGUUUUUUUUUGUUUAUUGCUUCUGAGUUUUUUAAUCACAGAUCCCUAUGAAGACGAGUUGCCUUCUGGAACUUUUACAUUAAGGCAAAUCAAAUUUGCUACAGAUGACUUCAAUCCAACUAACAAGAUUGGAGAAGGUGGUUUCGGUGCAGUAUUCAAGGUAAGAUUAAGGGAUGAGAUGAUUCUUGAUAUAUGAAGAAGCUAAAGUUGCAGUGCACUUCAUGCUGAUAGAAAAUCUCAAUUGCAGGGUGUGUUAGCAGAUGGAAGAGUUGUAGCAGUUAAGCAACUCUCAUCUAAAUCAAGACAAGGGAAUCGAGAAUUUCUAAACGAGAUAGGCGCAAUAUCUUGUCUUCAACAUCCAAAUCUUGUCAAGCUUCAUGGCUUCUGUGUCGAGCGGGCUCAGCUAUUACUGGUGUAUGAAUACAUGGAAAAUAACAGUCUAUCUAGCGCGUUAUUCAGUGAGUAUAUUUAUUUUUAAUACUACCUAUGGCUAAUGAAAGCUUUUUGAUGCUUCAGCUCUAAAUAGUAUGUGUUUGUCUUGCAAUGUUAGGUCCAAAGCAUAAACAGAUACCACUGGACUGGUCUACUAGGUUUCAAAUUUGCUGUGGGAUUGCAAAGGGUCUCGCGUUUCUCCAUGAGGAGUCACCAUUGAAGUUUGUACACAGAGAUAUCAAGGCUACAAAUAUUCUAUUGGACAAGGAUUUAACUCCCAAGAUAUCUGAUUUUGGAUUGGCUAGGCUAGAUGAAGAGGAGAAAACACACAUCAGCACAAAAGUCGCUGGGACUAUGUGAGGCUUGAGCCCGCCCUUUUUUUCCAUUAACAUUUUUCUUUACUGUUACGUUUGUUUGCUAACUAGAAGAAUCAUAUGAACCUCUGCAGAGGAUAUAUGGCACCAGAAUACGCACUGUGGGGUUACCUAACUUUCAAAGCAGAUGUCUACAGCUUUGGCGUCUUGGUUCUAGAGAUUGUCGCUGGCGUAACCAACAGUAAUUUCAUGGCGGCAGGGGAUUCUGUCUGUCUCUUGGAAUGGGUAUAUAUAAUAUGAUUCCAAGUCUCAAUUUCAUAUGAACUUCUGAAACCAAAAAAUGGUUUUCUUGAUUAACCCUUUUGGUGUAUCUGCAGGCUAACGAGUGCCUAGAAUCAGGGCACUUGAUGCAAGUGGUGGAUGAGAGAUUGAGGCCUGAAGUGGACAAAAAAGAAGCAGAAACAAUUAUAAAAGUCGCUCUCGUGUGCUCGAGUGCUUCUCCAACAGAUCGUCCUAUCAUGUCAGAGGUCGUUGCGAUGCUCGAAGGUCUCUAUCCAGUGCCAGAGUCAACACCAGGAAUAAGUAAGAACUCAGGGGAUAUAAGGUUUAAAGCAUUUAAAGAUUUAAAGAAAGGCAUGGAGAACAGCAGUAAAACGCAGCGUUCGGUUAAAAGUUAUCCUUCUUCUUCAUCAAUUUCUUCUGGGGCUGGACAAGUAGUUCAAGAAACAAACAAAGAAGAAUCAAGAAACUGAAGAGCCUCCCAAUGCAUUACCUCUCUUUUUGAAAUGGUCUGACUAUUAAUUUUGUACAAUGUUUUUGAGUUCAUCCCACGAUUAGUCAUUUACAGUAAUUCCCCAUUUCUGUAUUUAGGUUCUUUUAGUUGGGGACUGAAUAUUGUGGAGAAUCAAAACUCAAAAGAUAUAUAAUCAGUGAUCUUUUCUAAGUUAUACUUUUUAAGCCUCCAAAAUUAACUGAAAGAAAAAGUUUAUUCUUACAGCCAAAUUAGUCUUUUGGUAGUAAAUGAUAGGCUGGAUUUGUGAGAUGAUCUGACACAAACAAUUAAGUUUAUUCUGUAUGUUCUGUGUACCUAUUGAUCUUAAAGAAUUAGUUUCCUUUGUGUACCAAUUGUCUAAAAUAGUCUACCUUAAAGGUUGAGUUGACUUGCCAAGAAAAUGACCAAAUUGACUCAAGUCCAUAUAGUACUAUAGUACCUGUUGCAUUGAAACUAUACAAUACUUUGAGAGAGGAUCAAUAAAAUUAAAAAUGGAGUAAACUAAUUUUAAUCACAACUAGUUCUUGGAUCCAUGGGAAAAGUAUAAGUCAACUGUCAAGCAGGUUGAUUAAUAACUAAAUAAAACAAUCAACUAGUCCAAGUAUUCACCAUAAGAAAUUUCAUGUAAUAUUCUAUCAAGUUUUUUUUAUAAUACAAAACUGAUCAACCCCUCGAAUUUUCAUUUGUUGACAAAACUAUCCAAGACCUUCAUAUUUGGACUGAAGAUUUUAGAAUUACAGUUGUUUAAAACAAAAAGUUAUAUCUGAAAGUGGUGCAAAAUGUGAUCUAAAGUAUGUUCUUGUAGUAGUUCUAAAAGUAAAAUGCAGAGGAAAGGGUCAAAUAAGCUUCAAAUUAAAAGUUCUCCUCGUAAUGUUAGUAAAUAGAAACAGAGAGGCCGGAUCGUAAUUAACAAAAGUGAUACACUUAUCCGGGUUUAGCAAGCAAGACCCCAUGUGUAAACUCUUAGAAUCUUCAGCUUAGUCAGACUUCAUUUCAAGACACUUCACAUCUUUCACACUUUUCUAUAGAUACGAUAUAUACAUGCAUAUAUAAUUCUUUUUAAAAUAUAAAUGUAUUAAUGAAGAGUUUUAGUUUCUUCUUUAGUAUUUAGUCUAUAUAUAUAUAUGUAGUGUUUUCAAGUCAUAUAUAGAUCACUUUCACAUAAUCUUCCUUGUAUGCAGCUUACAAACACAUGAUCAUGUCUCAAAGCCGCCACUUGAGCUCUCUACUCUUUGUUCUUACUCUUAUCUACUUGGUCUAUACAACAUCUGCUUCUCCUUCUCUUCAUCCAGAUGAAGGUUUAGUGCUUUUAAAUGCAUGAUAUAUUGCCAAACAAAAUGCUUUUGUCUUUGUGGAUUUAAACUAACUUGCUUGUGUUACUAAUUUGUUUUGUCUUUACCAGUGGAAGCACUUAAGGAUAUUGCAUUGACACUUGGUGUGAAACAUUUGAACCUAAGUGAAGAUCCAUGUCUCGCAAAGACUCUAGUGAUAACUCAAGAUGUUCUCAGUGAAGUACAAAACAGCACUAUCAUAUGUGACUGUAGUUUCAACAACAACAGCACUUGUCAUAUCACACAGUUGUAAGAAACUAGCGUGUUUUGUGUCUGUUAACUUACAGGGGUAAACCUAUUGGUCUUUGGUUCUAUAUAGCUAAUGUUGCUUCAUAUGCAGUAUCCUUAAAACAUUCAGUCUUCCCGGUAGACUUCCACCAGAAUUAUCCAAGCUUCGGUAUCUUGAACUUAUGUAAGGAGGUUUCUUUGUGUUCAGUUUCCUCUGUUUUCAAUGUUGUUGGUGAGGAAACAUUAUAAACCUAACUCUUUUGUUUGCUUGUUUGUGCAGUGACUUGUGCCGUAAUUAUCUUUACGGCUCAAUUCCUAUGGAAUGGGCCUCACUGCCUUACCUAAAAUCUAUGUAAGUUUUUUCUCUCAAUUGUUUCUUGGUUGUUAAAGAAGUAAGAAAUGCUUUUGAAUUUACCUGAAACUGUUUCCCUGUAGCUCUGUUUGCGCAAACCGCUUAUCAGGAGACAUUCCUAAAGGAUUGGGAAAAUUUACUAACCUCACUCUCUUGUAUGUGUUCUUUGUUCAUCUGCUGUGAUUACGUAUAAAGUUUCAUCCUUUUGGAAUUCAAAACUAAGUUGUUUUGUUUGUUUGUUUGUUUGUUUGUAUGAUUACAGAGUUCUUGAAGCCAAUCAAUUCUCUGGAACUAUCCCUAAGGAACUAGGGAACCUAGUUAACCUUGAAGGAUUGUAAGUAAAUAAUAUGUCAACCAGAAUUUGGUGUGAUUCUCUUAAACAUGAUAUCUUAAUCUUGUUUUGUUUUACUGAUUCUCUCAGAGCACUCUCAUCUAACCAAUUAGUUGGAAGCGUACCCAAGACAUUAGCAAGACUAAGAAAUCUGAAGAACCUGUAUGAUCAACAUUAUUUUCUCAACAAUAUGGCAGGCUUUUAAAUGUAGCAGAUAUAAUUUAUCAUGUAUAACAACUUCGUUCCAUCAUUUGCAGUCGAUUUAGUGACAAUCGCCUUAACGGAUCCAUCCCUGAGUUUAUAGGGAACUUAUCAAAACUUCAAAGAUUGUAAGUCAAGAAACUAUGCAUUACAGUUUUAAUAGCUUCAAGCCUUGAAGCAUUACAGUUUUAAUAGCUUCAAGCCUUGAAGCAUUACAGUGAGUGACUUGUACUCAUCCUUGAUCAGAGAACUUUACGCAAGCGGCUUAACCGAACCUAUUCCAGAGUCCAUUUUCCGUCUAGAAAAUUUGAAAGACCUGUAAGUAUUUAUUCAUCUCUUAAAACAUCCAAAGGAAGAAGAAUUUAAAUUACAGUAGCAUGUUUCUCUUCUUCAGUCUAUAAACGGUAGCCAUUUAUGUCAAUGCAGGAGGAUCAGCGACACAACUGCAGGAUUGAGACAGAUUCCUCUUAUAACUAGCAAGAGACUGGAAACUUUGUAUGCAGUGUGUCCACAUACAUAUAUAAUUAUGAGACUGUGUUGCCAGAUACAAGAUCCUAGUUUUUAAUAUAUGUGUUUUAAGAUUCAAGAUUGAUUAUUCUGUUGAUUUUUCAGGGUUCUAAGGAACAUGAACUUAACUGGAACAAUCCCAACCAGUGUCUGGGAUCUUCCUAAACUCAAGACUCUGUAAGUUUCAUGUAUAUAUAUGUUUACAUCACAACGCAACAUCCCAAAUAUUGACUAUGGUUCUUUUUCUUUUCCGGGCAGCGAUCUUUCUUUUAAUAGUCUGACAGGAGAGAUACCCGCAGAUGCAUCUGCGCCACAAUAUACGUAUGUGCCAUACAGCUAUAGUGUUAAAAGAUGAGAGCAUUCUAUAGUAUUAAGUAAAAAUUCAUGAACUCAUCUCCUGGUUUGAAUUCUUUUUUCAGAUAUUUGGCUGGGAAUAUGUUGUCAGGAAAAGUUGAAUCAGGACCUUUCCUUACUACAAGCACUAAUACGUAUGACCAAUAUCACUUUCUCUAAUACUCUCGUUUAUGUGAAAAAACAUUUCAACCUCACAUCUUGAUUUUUUUCUUUUUGGUGGUUGUGAUGUAUAAACAUAUCUACAGUGAUCUUUCUUAUAAUAACUUCACAUGGUCUCCAAGCUGCAUAGAGAGAAAGUAUGUUCUUCUAUUGUUAUCUUGUUAACACAUUUCUAAGAAACAUUCAAAAAGCUUUUAAUAACAUGUUUUCAUGCAGUAACGUAAACACAUAUGAGAGCUCACGUUCAAGAAACAGUUUGUAAGAACAUUAUAUACCAAUCUUAUCAAUCAUAGGCUACUGUGCAUACUGUUACUAACUCAUUGUUUCUUGAUAUAGAACCAGACUUCUUCCGUGUUCCGCUAUAAACCAAUGCAAAAAUUGUAAAGCUCUUUUAGUUGUCUAUUGUUUUGCCAAUUAUCCAUUUUCAAGUGUUUUUGAAUAUGAUCUUGAAAGAAUUUCAUUUUCUGCAGACAGUAGAUCGCUGCAUAUAAACUGUGGGGGACCUGAUGUAACUAUCGAAAACUCUCGAGGAAGGUUUCUAUAUGAGGGUGAUAACUAUGGACUUACCAGUUCAGCUAUGAGCUAUCAUGGGAAAUAUUGGGGAUUCAGCAAUACUGGUGACUUCAUGGAUGAUGGAGAAACAGACGAUACAUACUCAGUUACAUCAGAAUCUGCAGUCUCAGCAAAAUAUCCUGAGCUUUAUCAUAAUGCAAGGCGCUCUUCUCUGAGUUUGGCUUAUUUUGGGUUUUGUUUAGAAAAUGGAAGCUACAAUGUGAAACUCCAUUUUGCGGAGAUUCAGUUCUCAGAUGAGGAACCAUUUGCUAGACUAGGAAAACGGUUUUUUAACAUUUACAUUCAGGUACAUAUAGACUUUUGUUGUGGAAUCCUUAAGAACCUCUUUUUAGCGGUUUAGCCUGAUUCUUGAAGUAUGAACUUUGUUAUCUGUUCAGGGGAAGUUGAUUUGGGAGGAUUUCAACAUCAAGGAAGAGGCUAAUGGAACUCACAAGGAAGUUAUAAGAGAAGUGAACACGACCGUGAGUGAUAACACUUUAGAGAUACGGUUUUACUGGGCAGGCAAAGGCACAUUAAUCAUUCCCAAAAGAGGGAACUAUGGUUCUCUUAUCUCUGCAAUCUCAGUCUGCCCCAGUACGUAAAAAAUUCUGUAAUAGAAAACGUCAAGUUUCUCUCAAAAUACUUUCAUCCUGAUUCUUUUGUUGUUCUUGUUGUAUCAGGUUCAGAAUCUGAAUGUGGCGGUAAGAGGAAGAGUUGUAAAGUCUUUGAAUCCUCAUUUAAUAUACCUCUUAUAUCUGAAUAUGAAUCACUCUUUUUCUCUUUUUUCUCUUUUUGUCUAUGUUACUCUUCAGUUCCGCGGCAAAUUCAACCAGUUACAAAACAGCACAAACCAAGAAGAUAUCCUCUCAUUCUCGGCAUAGCAGCUUUAAUACUCUCUCUUACUUUCUUGAUAUUGGGCGCUUUGUAUUGGAGAAUAUGCAUUAGCAAUGGAGAUGCAGGGAAAAGAAGAGGUAACAUCUGUUAUAGUUUAGUUGUCAGUGUUUUUGGUAAAAUGAAGAGCUCAAAAGGAUUUAUCUGAUAACAGGUUCCUUCAGUUUGAGGCAACUAAAAGUUGCCACUGACAAUUUUAAUCCCUUAAACAAGAUUGGAGAAGGCGGCUUUGGAUCUGUUUAUAAGGUACAAAAGAGUCUUCAUCAAGCUCUAGAAAUCAGUGGUAUUAUUAUUAAAACAGUAGAUGUUAAAGCCAGAAAUGUGACAAUGCAGGGGCGAUUACCGAAUGGCACAUUAAUUGCGGUAAAGAAGCUAUCUUCCAAAUCAUGUCAAGGCAACAAAGAGUUUAUAAAUGAGAUUGGUAUAAUCACUUGCCUACAGCACCCAAACCUUGUAAAGCUUUAUGGAUGUUGUGUUGAUAAAACCCAGCUGCUUCUUGUCUAUGAGUACUUGGAGAACAAUUGUCUUGCUGAUGCAUUGUUUGGUAAAGUUCUUCUUCUUAUUCACCUCUGUAAAUGAUAGAGACCAAAACCUUUUUACUGCCUUCUUCAUCUGUCUUGGGGUUGAUUGGUGUCAUCUAACUGUACAGGAAGAAGCAGUCUGAAAUUAGACUGGCAAACAAGACAUAAAAUAUGCUUGGGAAUAGCGAGAGGGCUUGCGUUUCUUCACGAAGAUUCAGCGGUUAAGAUCAUUCACCGAGACAUCAAAGGAACAAAUGUACUGCUAGACAAGGAUCUGAACUCAAAGAUAUCAGAUUUUGGGUUGGCCAGACUCCAUGAAGAUGAUCAGAGUCACAUUACCACCAGAGUUGCUGGAACAAUGUCAGUCUUAUAGUCCGUCAUAUACACAUAAUCCUACUUAUGCUGAAAAUGUUUCAGUGACAGCUAACGUUGUUAUGGUUGCAGAGGAUAUAUGGCUCCUGAAUAUGCAAUGAGGGGUCACCUAACAGAGAAGGCAGAUGUUUACAGCUUCGGUGUGGUAGCAAUGGAGAUCGUAAGCGGAAAGAGCAACGCAAAUUACACUCCAGAUAACGAAUGUUGCGUUGGCCUUCUCGAUUGGGUACAACUAAACCAAUCCAUUUCCCCAAAAAGAACUAAGCUUUCUCUCAAUAAGAUGGGAUACUUAUAAAAGGUUCAUGAUUUUUCAAUUUCAGGCGUUUGUACUACAAAAGAAAGGGGCUUUCGCGGAGAUUCUGGACCCGAAGCUUGAAGGAGUGUUCGAUGUGAUGGAAGCAGAGAGAAUGAUAAAGGUUUCACUUUUAUGCUCCAGCAAGUCUCCAACAUUAAGGCCAAACAUGUCGCAAGUAGUGAAGAUGCUUGAAGGAGAGACUGAGAUAGAGCAGAUGAUAUCAGACCCCGGCGAUGAAUUGAAGUUUAAGAGAACGUCGGAGAUAGGAUCAUCGUCUUUGCCUUCUGAUUAUCUCCUGUCGAUUACUGCGUCCGGUGAAUCUGCUUCCGAUUUGUACCCUCUUAGUGCCGAUUCCAUUGUUUUCUCUAGACCAUAGCGUAAACGGAGGCUUGAACCCAUUGUAACCGUUUACAUGAUAAGAUCUCUGUUUUCAUUGUAAAAGACUGAAGCUUUGGUUUAUAAGAAGACACUUCUGAGUCAUAACCAAAAAACUCGUUCAAUUGGGGUUACAGUAUAUGACAUUAGGGCUUAUUUCGUUCGCGCCGUGGGUGUACUCGUACACCAGCUACGUCGACUGGAUCACCCUCUCUGCCGGCGAGAAUAUCACGGUGAUACUUCCCGGUGGCUCCGACCUGAACUCGACAAUGGCGCCUACAUUGCAGCAUUUCUUCCUCAAAGUGAUGACAAUGAGGUCUGUGAUUCCUUUUCUUCUUCUAAAUAUCAUCAGUGGACUAAGAAAAAUUCGUCAAAUUGCAGACAAUAAGCUUUCCGAUUAGAGCCCUUUUUCCUGUAGUUUUGUAAUCUUGAAGCUGCAUUUGCAUUAUCUAUGAACAGUGAACACACACAGAUAACGAGAGUAAACUACAUAAUUAGACUAGAGCUGUAGACUAUAGAGUGUCAUCACCAAUUGCAACUGAGGUAUCAGUGCCAUGUUAUACAAAUCCUAAGGUUAAAUCUUUGGUGUGUUUUUACAUCAUACUUCCUCUUUUAGUCCUGCAUCUGUUUCUCUGUGGAUUGGAAAACUUUGUAUUGGCUGAGCGUAUGUUUCUAGAUUGUGGGGCUGAUGAUGAUUUGGGAAGAACCACUCCCAAACGUGUAUAUUAACCAUUACGCCUCUAGAGAAAUAUAUAUAAAAUAGGGACAGAUUGUUUUCUUUUCCUGAAAACGUUUUACACCAUCGGUUAUAUGGUUUUCAGUGUCCAGGAUAUAUUUUAUGGUGUUCUGAUCCAACAGUGAUGUCUCAGUUAUUAGGUAAGGAAUUAGGGAUAUGGAUUUUUUACAUAUGAGAGGGUUUGAGAUAUCUUUGGUUAUUUGGAUCUCUUCCUUCGGCAGUUCAGAGCUGCACAUCAUUGGCCUUCUGUAGAGGAUAAGAUUAAAAAUAUGGAGUUAACCAAUUUUCUUACCCACUAGCUUUCAGAUCCCAAGGAAAGUAGUAGUCAACACUCAAGAAGACUGAAUAAAAUAUGCAACUAGUUGAAGUCUUGUUUCAUGUAAUACUCACCCAAAGUUAUGCAUAACAACUGGUCAAUCCCUUCAAUUUUUAUUUAUAUUAAAAUACUCAAGUCAUGAUCUUCAAAUUAUGACUCAAGAUCUAAAAUUUAGAAUUCUUUAGGCUAUAUCAUGUUGAAAGUGGUGUCAGUAAUGCUUUAAUAAUUAUAAAAUCUUAGUAGUGUUAGUCUUUAUGUGUUCUAGUAGUUCUGCAAGUAAAAUGCAAGCGAAAGGCUGGAGAAUUUUUUUAAAAUAUUUCUGCUCAUAUUGUAAAUAAAUCCAGAUAGAGAGUCUGGAUUGCAAUCAUCCCUAAAUGUGGGAAGCUGGCUAAUACAAGCAUUGACUAACCCAUGUGCUUAGUCCUAACCUCAACUUAGUCAAACUGCAUUUCACAUUUUCACAAUCUUCUGUAUACAUAUAUAUAUUUAUGUAGCGUUUCAAGUCACAAGUAGAUCAGUUGAACACAAUCUUCCAUGUCAGAGCUUACAACCUCAUGGUUAUGUCGAAAAAUUGUCUUCUUAGCUUUUAUCUUUGUUUUUACACCUAUCUACUUUGUAUGUACAGUAUCUGGUUCUCCUUCUCUGCAUCCAGAUGAAGGUUUAGUAUUUUUCACAGAUAUUGGCCUCUCUUUGUGAAUUUGAGUUAACUUUAUUGUGUUUCUGAUUUGCUGUCUUCGCCAGUGGAAGCCCUUACGGAUGUCGCAGCAACACUGGGUGUGAAGCACUUGAACCUAAGUGAAGAUCCAUGUCUUACAAAGACUCUGGUAAUAUCUCUGGGUGUUCUGAAGAAAGGACAGAAUAGCACAAUCAGAUGUGACUGUCAUUUCGAUAACUACAGCACUUGUCAUAUCACACACUUGUAAGAAUUUAACCAUUCCAGAAAAGGAAACUUAACUGUUCUUCUGCUUAUUUAUCUUGUUUCUGACCCAAUUAAUAUGUACCUCAUGUCUAGUGUCCUCAGGAAAUUCAGUCUUCCAGGUAGGCUUCCUCCGAUGCUGCAAAAGUUUCGGUAUCUUGAAUCGAUGUGAGGAGGGUUUUUAGUGUUUCCACUAUUUUCAAUUUCUACCGCUAUUAUUUAAAAAAAUGUCGUAGUGGCUGGAAUUCUUUUGCUUGUUUUUGUAGUGACUUAUGCCAUAAUUACCUUUAUGGCUCAAUUCCGAUGGAAUGGGCCUCACUGCCUUACCUUAAAUCUAUGUAAGUCUUUGUUCUCAAGUUUCUGUACUGUUAGGAAAGUACGAAAAUCUUCUGAAGUUACCUGAAAUUUUUCUCUGCAGUUCUGUCUACGCAAACCGCUUAUCAGGAGAUAUUCCCAAAGGAUUGGGGAAGUUUAUCAACCUCACCGUUUUGUAUGUUUUUACCAUUAUUUUGUUGAUCUCAUGCGAUUACAUUAUAUAAAAGAAAAACAUAUUAGAUUACAUAUGAAGCUUUGUUUUUUUCUGAAAACUAAAUCUUUCGUCCGUUUGUAUGAUUUCAGAUCUCUUGAAGGCAAUCAAUUUUCUGGAACUAUUCCUAAGGAACUGGGGAACCUAGUGAAUCUAAAAGGAUUGUACGUAAGACUCUUCAAAAUCAAACAGAUUCAUUAGUGAUUUUCUCAAAUGUAUCCAUUUGAUUUUGCUUUGCUGAUUCCAGAGGACUCUCUUCCAACCAACUUGUUGGAGGCCUCCCCAAGACAUUAGCAAGACUUAAAAAGCUAACAGAUCUGUAAGAUCAUCUUGUGUUUUUUUUCUUACAAUAUAUCGUCUUUGAGAUGUGUUCAUCAUAGUGAAUCGCUUUUCAUUCUAUUGUUUACAGCUACCUAAGCGAUAAUCGCCUGAAUGGAUCGAUUCCAGAGUUUAUUGGAGAAUUAUCCCAACUUCAAAAAUUGUGAGUGUAGUAUCUUUCUUUUGCAUUAAACAUAAAUUGUUUGUAGCUUUACAUUUCAAUGUUUUCUGACUUGGGCUAAUAACGUUGUAUCAGAGAACUCUAUGCGAGUGGCCUUGGAGAACCUAUUCCAGACUCCAUUUUUCGUCUGGAGAAUUUGAUCCACCUGUAAUUUAUCAUAUAACAUUGUAAGUUUUAGAAGCUUAUGCUCUUUUUUGAAACGAAACUGUGGCUUUUCUUUCUAUGCAGGAAGAUCAGUGACACUGUUGCAGGAUCAGGACAUGUUCCUCAGAUAACUAGCAAAAGCCUGGAAUAUUUGUAUGUAGUACAUCUUUAUUUCUCAGGUCUAGAUACGAUUCUAUGCUCAAAGACAUAUGUGUAGACUGAAAUUGAUAAUUUUCAGGGUUCUGAGGAACUUAAACUUAUCAGGACCAAUUCCAACCAGUCUCUGGAAUCUGCCUAGUCUAAAAACUCUGUAAGUCUCAUGUUAUAUCACUACGCAUAUUGCUAAACACCGUCCAAUUUUUAUAUGAUACCUUUCUUUUUCGGGCAGGGAUCUUUCCUUUAAUAUGCUGACUGGAGAAAUACCAGCAUAUGCAACCGCCCCGAGAUACACGUAAGUCCUAAAGUGUCAAAAGGAUUAGGUAAGCAAUUAAAAUGUGCUAAAACUAUUGAACUCAUCUCCUGGUUUCAUUUUUCAGAUAUUUGGCUGGAAACAUGUUGUCUGGAAAGGUUGAAACAGGAGCUUUCCUUACUGCAAGCACAAAUAUGUAUGGCCAAUCUUAUUUUAUAGCGAUGUCAAAAUAUGUAUCGGUAUUACAGUAAUCUCUCCUUUUCUUCUUGGUUCCAAUAUUCAUAUCAUAAUAUGUGCAGUGAUCUGUCCUAUAAUAAUUUCACGUGGUCUCCAAUGUGCAAAGAGAGGAGGUAUGUUCUUUAAUUGUUAUCUUAACUACCGCUUUUUCUCGUUAAACUUUAUGGAUGCUUUUAACAUAGUUUUUCAUGUAGGAAUAUAAACACAUAUGACAGCUCACACUCAAAAAACCGUCUGUAAGCACAUUUUGUCAAUCUUAUAUAUCACUGAAUACUUUGUGUACUGUUAUUAAAUUGUUGCCUUGAUUCUGAUUACAGGACCAGACUUCUUCCAUGCUCUGCCAUAAAGCAAUGCCAAAAUUGUACGUGCUUCUGCUAUUUUAUGGGGUUUUUUAAAUACCCAUUUUCGAGUUUCAAUGGAAAAUGUUUACUUUCCACAGAUAGUAGAUCGCUGCAUAUAAACUGUGGGGGACCUAAUGUAACUAUCGAAAACUCUCGUAGAAAGCUUCAGUACCAGGGUGAUAACUAUGGACCUACAGGUUCAGCUAUGAACUAUCAUAACACAAACUGGGGAUUCAGCAACACUGGUGACUUUAUGGAUGAUAGAACAACCACAGAUAGAUACUAUGUUUCAUCAGAAUCUGUUGUAUCAGCUAAAUAUCCUGAACUUUAUCAGACAGCUCGACGUUCUCCCUUGAGUUUGGCUUACUUUGCAUUUUGCUUUGAAAAUGGAAGCUACAACGUGAAACUUCAUUUUGCAGAGAUUCAAUUCUCAGAUGAGGAACCAUAUGCUAGACUAGCGAAACGGGUUUUUAACAUUUACAUUCAGGUACAUAUAGCAUUUCGCUGCAGAUUCUUUAAGAACCCCUUUUCAGCAUUUUAGCCAAUUGUUGAAGUUUAAACUUUAAUAUCUGUUCAGGGUAAGUUAAUUUGGGAGGAUUUCAGCAUCAGAGAUGAGGCUAAUGGAACUCACAAAGAAGUUACAAAAGAAGUAAACACGACUGUGACUGAUAAUACUUUAGAGAUACGACUUUACUGGGCAGGGAAAGGCACGACGAUCAUUCCUCAAAGAGGGUAUUAUGGCUCUCUUAUCUCUGCAGUCUCAGUUUGUCCCAGUAAGUAAUUUUUGUGGAAGUAAGCAUCACAUUUCCUCAGAAAUUUUUAUCCUAAUGAUUUACUUGUUCUUGUUUUAUCAGGUUCAGACUCUGAAUGCGGUGGUAUGAAAAGAAAUCUCAAGUUUGUGAGUCCUUUUUUCCUGUUAAAGCCUACAUAUGGGUUAAUCUUUUCUCUUUGUGUUCUAUUUUCCACCUUCAGAUCCAGUGCAGAUUCUUCCAGUAAGAAAAUAUCAUAAACGGACAACAUAUCUUCUUAUCCCCGGCUUAGCAGUCUUUCUUGCUUUCUUGCUCCUCGGUGCAUUCUGUUGGAGAAAGUGUGUUAGAGAUGUAAAUGCAGCAGAACGAGGUACCGAUCUCUAGAAUUCGCUACUUAAAAAACCAUCUGUUGUGAUGAGCUUGAGGGACCUAAUCUAAUAACAGGUUCCUUCAGUUUGAGGCAACUAAAAGUUGCGACUAACGAUUUUGAUCCCUUAAACAAGAUUGGAGAAGGCGGCUUUGGAUCUGUUUAUAAGGUACAAAAGAGUCUUCAAGCUCUAGAAAUCAAUGUUAGUAUUCUUCAAAAUAGGUGACGUUAAGCCAAACAUUUGACAAUACAGGGGCGAUUACCAGAUGGAACAUUGAUUGCGGUAAAGAAGCUAUCUUCCAAAUCACGUCAAGGUAACAAAGAGUUCGUAACCGAGAUCGGUAUGAUCGCUUGCCUGCAGCACCCGAACCUUGUGAAACUGUAUGGAUGCUGUAUUGAGAAAAACCAGCUGCUUCUUGUCUAUGAGUACUUGGAGAACAAUUGUCUUUCUGAUGCAUUAUUUGGUAAAGUAUCUGACAGAUGAUUGGACCAAAUCCUUUGACUGCAUUCUCUUCUUUCUUGAGUUAGAUUGUUUGCUUGUACACUGUCGGAGCAGGAAGAAGUUGUCUGAAACUAGAAUGGAGAACAAGACACAAAAUUUGCUUAGGGAUCGCAAGAGGGCUUGCUUUCCUUCAUGAAGAUUCGGCAGUUAAGAUCAUUCACCGCGACAUUAAAGGGACCAAUAUUCUGCUAGACAAGAAUCUGAACUCAAAGAUAUCAGAUUUCGGGUUGGCCAGGCUACAUGAAGACGAUCAAAGCCACAUUACCACCAGAGUUGCUGGAACAAUGUCAGUCUUGUAGUCAGUCAUAUACACCUAAUCCUACUUGUGGUGAAAAAAUUUCAGUGACAGUUAAUGCUGUUAUGGUUGCAGAGGAUAUAUGGCUCCUGAAUAUGUAAUGAGGGGUCACCUAACAGAAAAGGCAGAUGUUUACAGUUUCGGUGUGGUGGCAAUGGAGAUUGUUAGCGGAAAGAACAACGCAAAAUACACGCCAGAUGACGAAUGUUGCGUCGGCCUUCUUGAUUGGGUACUGAUUCAGGCAUUUCCUCCACAAGAACUCUGCUUUCUCGCAAUUAAAAAGUUUUUACAUUUUCAAUUUCAGGCAUUUGUGUUGCAAAAGAAAGGGGAUUUCGCGGAGAUUCUUGACCAGAGGCUGGCAGGAAUGUUUGAUGUGAUGGAGGCAGAGAGAAUGAUAAAGGUUUCACUUUUAUGCUCAAACAAGUCUCCGACAUUAAGGCCAAGCAUGUCGGAAGUUGUAAAGAUGCUUGAAGGGGAGACUGAUAUAGAGCAGAUCAUAUCCGACCCUGGAGUGUAUGGUGAUGACUUGCGCUUCAAUCCAUCAGCUUUACCUUUUGAUGGUAUCAUGUCGAUUCCGUCAUCCUCUGAAUCUGCCUAUGAUUUCAUGCAGAUCAGUGAUCUGUACCCACUCAGCCCCGAGUCCAUUGUCUUUACCAGCUAGAGAGUAAAAGAAAACAAUAACAACAACAAUCCAUAUACAUUUUUUCUAUAUAGGCUGACUAAUCUAGUAUCGUCUCAAAUUCUGAAAACGACACAAGAUUCUUUGAAAAACUAUUCUGUAUUUUUGCAUUUAAGAUUUGAGUUUAAAUUAAUUGUGCUAAUUAGAAAAGAAAAAAUUAUGGAAUGCAUUAAUUUUGUGAUACAUGAUUGUAUUCAAUACAAUGUAUUGUAUCUGUUUUCUAAGUAAAACGAUAACUUUUUCCAUUAAAAAUUAUACAUCCACUAGUCAUGAUUUUCUUUUCUUUUUUUUCAUUAUUCAGAGAUUCAAACUAUGACAUACAAAAAUAAUUUUCAAAAUUCUUUUGUAAGAUAAUGAACUUUUCUUCAGUGAUCAUUUUUCUGAGAUUACAAUAUGAAGUUGCGUUGAAGUCCAAUGACAUAUUGACAUGAUCUGCCAAUAGAUAGCAUAUUCGAUGCAUCGGAACGACAAGGGGUCAAUUUAACAUCCACGACACAAGAAGACCUUAUGAUAAAAUAUAUAUAUAUAUAAAAUAUAUCGCUACUACAUAGAUAGUAGCCGACGACCCAAGAAGACCUUAAGGUAAACAUAUACAUAUAUAUGACCAAAAGUUACAAUUAAUGUGUCGGUUAGCCAACUUCAACAUCAUCACCAUUGUAACUUUUGGUCAUAUAUGUUUUGUAGCUGGCGACGACCAAGACGAACUUCAAAAAAAAAAAAAAUUAUAGUCUUAUAGAUAAGAUUUUUAUUUUAUGGCAAUGAUUUAAUCUCUUGUUAAAGGUAAUACUCUGAAUAACCAAACAAAUACUCAACAGGUGUAUAAAUUUUGUAUUGGGAAUGGGGACUGUCUUCUCGGCUCUUUUUCUGCUCUUCAUAAUCUUCACAAGCUUCUUCACGGCUCAAACAACAUCCACUUCACCAGCUCUACAUCCAGAUGAACGUAAAAACUCAAACGAUUAAAUAUAAUCUUCUAGUUCUACAUAUCGAUCAAAGGUCAAAAACAUCCAUACUCUUUCAUAUAUUGUAUGUAUUAAUAUAUAUAUACUCAUAAUUUGUGCAGUGAAUGCACUUGAGGAGAUAGCUACUACACUUGGCAUAAAGAGAUUAAACCUAAGUUAUGGAGACCCUUGCCAUUUAGGAACUCUAAAGAUGAAUGUUGUUUCGAAAUCGGAGAAGGACAACGCCAUUACGUGUGAUUGUUCCUUCAAUAAUAACACAAUAUGUCAUAUAACUGAGUUGUGAGUGUUAAUCUUUUUUCACCUCUGAUCAGAGAUCUAUGUGCUCCUCUCCAUUCUAUUUUCUUACUCAUUUUGUUGUACUUGAACGAUCACAGAAUUCUCAAGUCCACUAGUCUUUCAGGGAGACUUCCACCUGAGUUGGCCAAACUUCAAUAUCUUCGGAAAAUGUAAGAGUUUCCUUUAAAGAAAUCGAUGAUUAGUCGCAAGUUUUUCACUCAUGGCUGGAAAAUGCUAUAACAACAAAUACUCUAGCCUCUUUCUUUUAUUUGGGGGCAAUUUAUUUAUACUCUAGCCUUUCUCUCCUUGGUUCUUGAAUUCUUCUUCAUGAACUGAAUUGGGAUCCAUAACCUAUCAAAAUCACUCAAACCCUCAUGUAUCGAGUGAAUCACCAAAAAGAAGCAUAACCAAAAUUUCUUGCUCUUGUUUGAAGAAACUUUUGCCGGAACUACCUCUCAGGUACAAUCCCAAUGGAGUGGGCUUCAUUGCCUCACCUCACUUUCAUGUUAGCUCUCUUCACUUCUCUUGUACUCAUUGAUGCUUCAUAUCUACAUGUUUCGCUAGCAAAUUUUAAUUUUUGAACAGAUCCGUCUGCGCAAAUCGUUUGUCUGGGAAUUUACCACGUGGAUUACAAAAUUUCAAGAAUCUGACAUUCUUGUACGUACGUCUCAAAUUUGUCUCAUAUCUAUACUUUAUGAUAAUUUGACUUAAUAUUCAUUACGGUGAUGUGACGAAAUUUUCAGAGGGGUUGAAGCCAACCAGUUCUCUGGUCCCAUUCCUGAUGAGAUUGGUAAAUUAACCAAGCUAACAGGAUUGUAAGACCCUUUUCCAUCUUAACCAUUUAUGAAAAACCACAAUAACCUUUGGAUUCUACCUGUCCAGUUUUGAUAUUUUCUGAAACUGGAUUUGGCAGGGAACUUGCAUCCAAUCUAUUUACAGGAAACCUUCCAAACACUCUUGCCAGAUUAGUAAACCUUGAGAAAUUGUAAGUUGUUAGGGAUGUAUUUUCCAUGGAAGCAUUACAAAACGUGUAGUUAUUAGGGUGUGUUUCUUGCUAUUUUGUAGCCUGAAUCGCUUGGUUGUGAAUUGAUUUAUGAAAGGCUUACUUAAAUGUGUGAAGAUAUAUAGUCAAUGAAUAGCAUACCCAUAAUGGAUUAAGAAGAAAAAAAAAAAAAAAGAGAAAAUUCAGAAAACCUAUUAUAGUACUAGUCUAGGAAGAAGAUAAGUUUAACAAAGGUCCAAACUAGUUGUUUGUUUUCAUUAUGCAGUAGGAUAUGUGACAACAACUUCAUUGGCAUCAUCCCGGAAUACAUCGGCAACUGGUCUCGGCUAAAAAGGCUGUAAGACUUUUUCAUCAUCACUACUCUUAUUUAUAAGUUCUCUUUUAUAGUUUGUAUUUAUGUGUGUCAUAUAUCUAAAAUGUGUCAGAGGGUUAUGAUUUACAGAGAUCUAUACGCAAGUGGACUGAAAGGACCUAUUCCUGAUGCACUCGCCCGCCUAGAAAAUCUUAUGGAACUGUAAUGAACUGUUUUCAAUAGAUUAGCAAAAAAAAAAAAAUUGAAACUAGACUGACCUUUCAAGCAAAUGAUAUUCAUAUGCAGGAGUAUUAGUGAUACGACUGGAAUAAACUUCUUUCCUAAUAUAUCUAGCAACGUCAUCACAAACUUGUAUGUGUUUGCUUAUGAAGCUCAAUUAUUAUUAUUCUUUUUCUUUCUUUUUUGGGAAUUUCAAACUAAAGUCUUCGUCCCUUUUUCAGGAUUUUGAGGAAUGUGAGUAUGUCUGGCUCUAUUCCUUCUUACAUCUGGAGUAAGCCGCACUUAAGAACUCUGUAAGUUCUUUUUUUUUUUUUUUGAAAUGUAAAAGGACAUUGUAAAUUCAAAACUAGGUAGUUCAAUAUGUAUCAUGCACAUGCUGAGAUGUUUGCAUAUGACUCUUUAUCAGUUAAAUAGGCCCUCUUUCCCACCUCUCGAAAGUCAUUUUCUAGGUGUGUAAAUAUUGAUUUUACUAAACUCAUGGGUAAACAUAUUAAUACAUUUCAUAGAGAGAAUAAACUGUGAGAGUCAUAUGCAAGUAUAUCAAUGAAAUUGACUGGUGAAGAAAUUGUUUGCUGCAGUGAUUUGUCGUUUAACAAGUUGACUGGUGAAGUUCAUGGAAUAAAAGUGGCACCACUAUAUACGUAAGAACUUUCAAUGUGUGGAUAUCAUAAAAUCCUUGCGGAUAAUUUAUAUUUUUGACAUGUUCUUUACAGCUAUUUGACUGGCAAUAUGCUUUCGGGAAACAUCAAUUCUAGUGUUCUGGACAACAAGAAAUCUAAUAUGUACGUUUAAGGAUUUCCCUUGUUUGCAUGGCUUGAGAAUUCUAAUAUUAUGUCAUGUAAACUAAUAUUCUACAUUUGGUGAAUUUCCUCAGUGAUCUCUCUUAUAACAAUUUCUCAUGGUCGCCUAGCUGCCAGGAAAAGAGGUACAUACAUAAAUGUCUGCUAAAUAACUGUUCAUAUAAAAAUUUAACAUUAUGCUCUCAUUUUCUAUUGAAUCAGUAACAUUAACACAUACAGGAGCUCAUAUCUCAAAAACAGUUUGUAAGUACAGUCUUUUGCAUGAUCUUGCAAUAAUGGAUUAAACUUAGUAAUCUCUAGCUUUCCAAUACAGUAAUAGAUCAGUUUACUUGACUGUCUCAUACGCUAAUUAGAUGCUUAAAUUACCAUGAUCGUUUUGUUUUACAGAGAUGGGCUUCUUCCAUGCGCUGGUCCAAUCAACUGUACGAAAUGUAUGCACAUAUUGACCUGUAUUAACUUAUCUAUAACAUGCAUGCAAUAUUUGACCUAAUAAUAUUCGUUGUUACUUCUACUACCUGUUUAAUUACCUUAUCCUAAACAUUAAGAAAUUAAACACUUUUACUUCUACUGUUGUGUAUUCUAGAUCAACGAUCACUACAUAUAAACUGUGGUGGAGAAAGUGUGAAUAUUACAACCUCUUUGGGUAAAAUCACUUACCAAGCAGAUAUCAGUGAACUCAAAGCUGCCACAAAUCAGCGCAUGAAAAACUGGGGAAUCAGUAACACGGGUGACUUUGGCGAUGAUAAUGAUGAUGAGGACACGUACAUCACUUCAAAUACUUCAGCACUAUCUGGAGAUUUUCCUGAUAUUUAUAAGACUGCACGACGAUCUGCUCUCUCUCUUGUUUAUUAUGCGUAUUGCUUGGAAAAUGGACCAUACAAUUUGAAACUCCAUUUUACGGAGCUUCAGUUUUCAGAAGAAGAUCUAUAUAAUCGUUUAGCUAGGCGCAUAUUUGAUGUCUAUGUUCAGGUAAAGCAUCACUGCUUACUACAUAUUUAUAUUUCUAAUAAUCUUCAAAAUAAGUUGUGUGUUUCAUUUGUUUAAUUUUUACCUUUUCUCUAUUUUUAGGGAGAAUUGUUCUUGCGGGAUUUUAACAUCAAAGUAGAAGCUAAUGGGACUCUUAAGCCUAUUGUGAAAGAAAAGAAAGAUGUUAAUGUGAGCAAUCAUAUGUUAGAGAUUCGCUUGUAUUGGGCGGGAAAAGGGACAACCCUUAUUCCAAAAAGAGGAAAUUAUGGUCUUCUUAUCUCUGCAAUCUCCUUGUGUCACAGUAAGUGCCCUUCUCCUCUGCCAAGUCUCUGCUUGACACAAAUCUGGCUUCUUAUCUUUAUAUAUGUUACUUUCUUUUUUAUGUGACCUUCUUCUUCUUGAUACUCGUUCUUGCCUCCUAAACAUAAUGUUCAUCUUUCAAAAUUUUCAGGUCGGGAGCAACGAUGUGGAGGUCGAAAAAUCAAAUUAAAAACUACUAUGUUAAAAUAAUUUUCUGUAGCUUAGUGUAUGUGCAUGGUAAUAAAACUUUUCAGUGUUUAAUAUGCAGUACUGGAGAAGACAAUACAUCAAACUAAUUAUCCCCUAAUUUUCGGGGCAACGGGUGCCUUGGUAAUACUUUUUCUCUUGGCUUUGGGAACAUAUGCUAGGAGGAGAUGCAGAGGAGACAAUAACACAAGAGAAAAAGGUAUCAGGGCUCAAGUAUAAAAAUAUAUAUGAACCAUAUCUAGUACACGACACAUUCGUUUUAGCAAGAAUAAUUAACGUUUUCUUUUGUGAACGUAACCACAUAGAAAUGAGAGCUCAGGGUCUACAAACUGUUUGCUUUACUUGGAGGCAACUGCAAACUGCAACAAACAAUUUUGAUCAAGCCAACAAACUCGGAGAAGGAGGUUUCGGACCCGUGUUCAAAGUAUGCUAAAUCAGACACCAAGUUCUUCUCAAAUGAAAAUAUGGUUUUAGUGGUUUAUUGGCAUGAGAAACUUAAUUAAUGUAGGGAGAGCUGUCGGAUGGGACUAAUAUAGCAGUAAAGCAGCUUUCUUCCAAUUCAAGUCAAGGAAACCGCGAAUUUGUGAAUGAGAUAGGAAUGAUAUCAGGUCUGAAUCAUCCAAACCUUGUCAAGCUUUAUGGAUGUUGUGUCGAGAAGAAUCAAUUGCUGCUAGUGUAUGAGUACAUGGAAAAUAACUCUCUUUCACUUGCCUUGUUUGGUACGUAACAUAAAGUUGUUCAGUUUUUUGUUUAGUCUAAUACAAGUGUACUUAUAUGAUAUUUACAUGUAAAACGAUAUCGUUUCUCCUUUUAACGUCCAUUGCCAGGAAAGAGCUCCAUGAAACUAGACUGGGCAGCAAGACAAAAAAUCUGUAUGGGAAUUGCAAGAGGCCUUGAAUUCCUCCAUGAAGGAUCGACGAUCACAAUGGUUCACCGUGACAUAAAAACCACAAAUGUGCUUCUAGACACCGACCUUAAUGCAAAGAUAUCUGACUUUGGAUUGGCUAGGCUCCACGAAAAAGAGAACACGCACAUCAGCACCAACAUUGCAGGAACCAUGUAAGUAGUAUUCUAUAAACAUAAUAGUCUGCAAAAAAAAAUUUCUGAAUAUUUCUUCAUUUCUCUCUUUACUAUAGAAAUAUCUCAUUCUUGGUUUCUCUAAUGAUGCAGAGGAUAUAUGGCUCCAGAAUACGCGUUACGGGGUCACUUGACUGAGAAAGCGGACGUGUACAGCUUCGGAGUUGUGGCAAUGGAAAUUGUUAGUGGAAAGAGUAUUACAAAACAUCAGGGAAGUGCUGAUAACGUCUCUCUUAUCAAUUGGGUAACUGGAGUGUUUAUGUUUCUCUUUCCCAGUUAAUAGUUGAAUCUGUGAUUUCUUUUACCAUUAAGUUUAGUGAAGCCUGUUUUUGUACAUCAAAUCUUAGGCGCUGAUCCUAGAACAGAGAGGGGACAUAAUGGAGAUUGUAGACCCGGUGCUGGAAGGUGAAUGCAACAGCAAAGAAGCAAUGAGAAUGAUCAAAGUUGCUCUUGUUUGCACAAAUGCAGUUCCUUCGUUAAGGCCAUUGAUGUCUGAGGCUGUGAAAAUGCUUGAGGGAAAGAUGGAAAUAACACAGGUUCUGUCAGAUCAUGCUGUCUAUGGACAUGACUUAAACUUCUCAAAGCUGAUGGAGACGACGACACCAGAGGCAACAUCGAUGUCUGGUUAUGAUCUGUAUCCACAUAACUCAGAAUCCACAACUCUAAACUCUCAGUAGAGGUUUCGUCCUCGUCAACGUAAUCUUAAAGGUUGUGCUUGUGCAUAUUGCCUUUGUCUCUUGUGAGAGGUUUGUGGAGCUUUAUCUACAAAGCCAGAUAAUUAACUGCAAAUUAAUGUCAUACAGCUAAAAGUUGGAUGGAAACCUUAUAAUAUGACUGCAACAUUACAAGUUUAUCUUCUAUUUUAAAUAUCUUGGUCAGAUCUUAUCUUGUGUCGGUGCAAACAAAAGGCUUUGAAACAGAGAGAAAUUACGUCAGAUUUGGUUCUAACAGAGUUUGUAAGAUUGAUAAGCUAACUACAUAAAGGGGCCACAGAAAAAGAGAUAUUACAUGAAAAAUCAAGCCUUCACAUCACUCUAUUGUAUUUUUUUGGUCAUAUAUGUUUUGUAGCCACCGACGACCAAGAAGACCUUAAAGAUAAAACUUAUAGAUAAGAUUUUUAUUAUAUGGCAGUGGCACUGAUUUAAGCUUUUGUUGACAGUAAUAUUGUGAAUAACCAAACAAAUAGGUGUAUAAAUUUUUGUAUUGGAAAUGGGGACUAUUUUCUUGGCUCUUCUUAUGCUCUUCACCAUCUUCACAAGCUUCUUCACGACUCAAACAACAUCCACUUCACCAGCUCUACAUCCAGAUGAAUGUACCAACUCAAACGAUUAAUUAUAAUCUUCUAAUGUCAAAGGUCAACAACAUCCAUACUUUGUCAUACGUAUUUUUUUAAUUUGUGCAGUGAAUGCACUUGAGGAGAUAGCUACUACACUUGGCAUAAAGAGACUAAACCUAAGUUAUGGAGACCCUUGCCAUUUAGGAACUCUAAAGAUCGUACAACAAGUUGAUAUUGUUUGGAAUCCGGGUAUGAACAACACCAUUCUUUGUGAUUGUAGUUUCAACAACUACACGAUUUGUCAUAUUACAGACUUGUAAGUGUUAUUCUUCUUUUCAUUUUUUUUUUCUCUCUCUCUCUCUCUUCUUUACUAUAUUUGCAUUAAUUUGAAACAAAUACAGAACUCUUAGGAAUUUUACUCUUUCCGGGAAAGUUCCACCUGAGCUGGCCAAGCUUCGAUAUUUACGGUCAAUGUAAGUUCUAGCUACCAGGCAAAAGAACAAAAUACUUGAUUCGUGUAAGGCUUAAUAAAUUUGCAUGAAAUUGUUGAAAAAUAAUUAAGCUUUUGAUUGUUAAUUAUGUUUGUUAAGAAACAAUUAAUCAGUUUAGAAAUCCAUUUUACCAAUCAACAAAAAUAAAUUUGCUGCAAGAGAACAAUCCUAAAGAGAGCCGUAAGAAAAGUUUCCAUAUAUAUUUGCUCUUAUUUGCAGCGACUUAUACCUAAAUUACCUAACGGGGAAAAUUCCAAUGGAAUGGGCUUCGUUGCCAUACCUCACUUCCAUGUUAGCCCUCUCUCUCUCUCUCUCUCUUUUUGCUCGUUAUAAUGUUUUAAUCUUCAUUAUUUUGCGAGUAAUUAACUUUGACUUUUGUCUCAGCUCACUCUCUGCGAAUCGUUUGUCUGGGAAUUUACCAACUGGGUUACAAAAAUUCAAGAAUCUAAAAGCUUUGUACAGUUUCAAACUAAGAUUUCUCCAUAUGUAGUUAUGUAUACUUUAGAUGUGCGUUUUGUUUAGAGCUCUAAUAUUACAAGAAUGUGAUCAAAUUUCUAGUGCGGUUGAAGGCAACCAGUUCUCUGGUCCGAUCCCUGAUGAGCUUGGUAACUUGACCAACCUAAAAGUAUUGUAAGCAAUAUAUCUUUGCUUUGCAGACAUCUUGCAUCCAACAAAUUUCUGAACUUUUGCAUAUGGCUUUACGGAAACAAGUAAAGUUUUGAUCUUUUAUUCUUCUUCUUUUGUGAAAUUGAGUUUUGCAGGUUUCUUUCGUCCAAUCAAUUUUCAGGAACUCUUCCUAGCAGUUUUGCUAGAUUAGUAAACCUUGAGGAAUUGUAAGUUACAUUUGUAACCUAAGUUUUUAUUUUUUCCUUGUUAACUAGUAAUGCUAAUAUUUGAUUAGUUUUAAAAAUCAAUAAAUUAAUUCACACUAGGUGUGAAGCCAUGAUCUACAGGGGAACGGAUCACUCGACAUAUAUGUUUCUAAAAACUUUGAGGAAGAAGUUAGUUUAUAAGAUUAUACUGAAACACAUUUAAUUAAAGCUUUCUUGCUAAGCCUUUUCCUUCAAUUUAUACAUAUGCUUGGUUACUUCAUAGUAUGUGUAGUUUUGUUGUGAAUUUAUCUGUUAGUUUCAAAACGCUUACUUAAGUGUGUGGAAUGAUGGUCCGUAAAACCUAUAUACCAGCUCAAGAAGAUUAGUUUUCUAGAGCUCUAGAUUAAAUAAGUGAAGUUGUAUGUUUUCAUUUUUUUUUUUUUGCAGUGUGUUAUGUGACAAUAACCUUACUGGAAUCAUCCCAGGAUAUAUUGGCAACUGGUCUCGGCUUAAAAAACUUUUAGUUUCUUAUUAAACGAUAAUUUUUCAUUUACAUUAUUUCUUCCUACCAUCUAACCUUUGUUGGUUUUGAUUAGCAGACAUCUUUAUGCAAGUGGACUAAGAGGACCUAUCCCUGAUGGAGUGGCUCGCCUAGAAAAUCUUACUACACUGUAGUUAACUACCUUCAAUAAUAAGAUACGUACCCAAAGGGCCAUUUAAACGAGGACAAUGGUUUUUAACCGUUAUAAUGUUUUUUUUUUAUAAUGCAGGACUAUUAGUGAUACCACGGGGAUAAACUCCUUUCCAAAUAUAUCCAGCAAAGCCAUCAAAACCUUGUAUCUAUUUUUCACUAAUUUUUUCUUUGUUUCUGCCUUACUAAUAUCAGAAAAGUUCAAACUAAUGUCUCCAGUCAUGUUCCAGGAUUUUGAGGAAUGUGGGAUUGUCUGGUCCGAUUCUUUCUUCCAUCUGGACUAAGCCAAACCUAAAUAUUCUGUAAGUUAUUUUUUAUAAGGAGUAAAAUAUAUGUAAACUCCUUUUACGUACUAAUAUGUACAAGUUGUUUGAUGUAGUGAUUUAUCGUUUAACAAGUUGACUGGUGAAGUCCAAGCAAUACAAAAAGCACCCAAAUAUACGUAAGUAAUAUAAUCCGAGAUUUUGAGUAUUUUUUAACGUGCUGAAGACCUUUCAAUGUGAAUAUACCGCUCCAUAUUGGUUCAACGUUUGCUUUCAGCUAUUUGAUAGGCAACAUGCUUUCCGGAAACAUUGAAUCUGGUGUUUUCCUUAACAGCAAAUCUAAUAUGUAAGUACGUUUUAGGAUUAUUAUUUUUUCUUGUUUGUGUGGCUUUAAGAAAUUUGGGCGUCAUGCAAACUAAUCUUCUUCUCGCAUUUCUAUAUUUGGUGAAUUUUCAUAGUGAUCUUUCUUACAACAAUUUCUCAUGGUCAUCAAGCUGUCAGGAAAAAAGGUAUGAGCAUAAUCUUGGUAGAUAUGAUACAUCUUCUGUAUACAAUAACUUGCUCAUGAUGACGUUUUUUGUUGAUUCGAUCAGUAACAUUAACACAUACAAGAGCUCAUAUUUGAAAAAGAAUAUGUAAGUACAGUCUUCUGCCUUUAUCUUGCAACAAGAAUGGAUUAAAAUUUGCUUUCCUAUAUGGCAAUAGAGUUGGGUUUGAAAGCCUUUGUGCUGAUUAGGGCCGUGAUUCUUAAUUACUAUGAUCGUCUUGUUAUAUAGAGUUGGCCUUCUUCCAUGCGCUGGUCCAAUCAACUGUAGGAAAUGUAUGUACAUAUUGACAUGUAUUAACUUAUGGUUAUUUUUACUAUAUGCUUUAUAUGUUAUUUUUCCUCCUUAACACUAAAAAAUCAAACACCUUUAUUUUUCCUCCAUUUUAUGGAUUGUAGAUCAACGGUCACUACAUAUAAAUUGUGGUGGAGAAAGUAUAACUAUUACAACCUCUUUGGGUAAAAUCACUUAUCAAGCUGACAACAGCAAAACCGAUGCCGCAACGAAUCAACAUUUGGAUAACUGGGGAAUCAGUAACACCGGUCACUUCACCGAUGAUGGAAGCGAUGAUGAUGCGUACGUCAUUUCAACUAGUUUAAAGUCAUCUGAAUAUUUUCCAGAUAUUUACAAGACAGCACGUCGAGCUGCUCUCUCUUUAGUUUAUUAUGCGUUUUGCUUGGAAAAUGGAGCAUACAAUGUGAAUCUUCAUUUUAUGGAGAUUCAGUUUUCAAACGAAGAACUAUACAGCCGUCUCGGUAGGCGCAUAUUCGACAUCUAUGUUCAGGUGAAGCGUCAUUUGUUUUUACUUAAUAAAGUUUUCUUUAUUCAUCCUUGAAAAAUAAGUUGCAUAAGUUUUUUUUUUUCCUUUGCCUCCCCUCUUAGGAGUUAGGGAGUCUUGUUUUUGAAGGAUUUUAACAUUAAUGAGGAAACUAAUGGGACUCUUAAGCCUGUUGUGAAAGAAAUGAAAGUUGUUAAUGUGACCAACCAUAUGUUAGAGAUUCGGUUGUAUUGGGCCGGGAAAGGGACAAUCCACAUUCCAAACAGAGGAUAUUAUGGUCCUCUUAUCUCUGCAAUCUCCAUGUGUCACAGUAAGUACCCUUCUAUAGGCGGUUGUUUUGCUCUCAACUGUCUAUUAUCUCAGAUUAAUACUUUACUGUAAAUGGUUUAUUUUUGUUUUGUGUGUUUCCCCUUCAUCUACGUACUUUCACCUAAUGAUAAUGUUCAUCUUUUAAACUUCUAGGUGAGGAGCUACUCUGUGGAGGUGCAAGGACUACAUUGUUAAAGAUAUUUUUCUAUAGUUGCUAUAUAUAUUUGAACUUUUAAGUAUAUCAUUUGCAGCGGAGAAACCAAAACACCACACUAAGUAUCUACUAUAUUUUGGAGUAAUUGGUGCCUUGGUAUCAAUUAUUCUCUUGGCUUUGGGAUUAUAUGCUCUGAAAAGAUACAGAAGAGACAAGAACAAGAGAGAAAGAGGUAUCAAAUUUCACAGAGUAUGAAUUCAUUCCUCGUAUAUAUAUAUAUAUAUAUAUGCUCAUAGCAUUUAUUAAUGAUUUUCUCUUUUCUGAUCAUAUAGAAAUGAGAUCCCAGGGUCUGCACACGGUAUGCUUUACUUGGAGACAACUCCAAGCUGCAACAAAUAAUUUUGAUAAAGCUAACAAACUUGGAGAAGGAGGGUUCGGAUCCGUAUUCAAAGUAUUGCUAAGAAAUAUGCAAAUUUCUACUCAAUUAUAGAUACUUGAGAAAAAUAUGAUAUGUUUUGGAUUUCUGAUAUGAGAAAAUUAAUGCAGGGAGAGCUGUCGGAUGGAACUAUUAUAGCAGUCAAGCAGCUUUCUUCCAAGUCAAGUCAAGGAAACCGCGAAUUUGUGAAUGAGAUAGGAAUGAUAUCAGGUCUGAAUCAUCCAAACCUUGUCAAGCUUUAUGGUUGCUGUGUUGAGAAGAACCAGUUGAUGCUCGUGUAUGAGUACAUGGAAAAUAACUCUCUUGCCCUUGUAUUGUGUGGUAAUUUAAACUCAUUCAGCCUUCAUUUUUUUUUUUCGUUUUGAGUCUAAUUGAUCAAGUGUUAAGUGAUAUGAUUUCUAUUUGAUUUACAUCUAUUUCCAGGUGAAAACUCUUUGAAAUUGGAUUGGGCAACUAGACAAAAAAUAUGUGUUGGAAUAGCAAGAGGACUUGAAUUCCUUCACGAAGGAUCAAUGAUCAGGAUGGUUCACCGUGACAUAAAAACAAGUAACGUGCUUCUAGAUGCCGACCUCAAUGCAAAGAUAUCCGACUUUGGAUUGGCCAGGCUUCAUGAAGAAGAACACACUCACAUUAGUACCAAAGUUGCAGGAACCAUGUAAGUGUAAUAAUUGUAUAAAAUUUAAAAACCAGAAUGAAAUUAACUCAAGUCUUUGUUUGUCUUAUAAUACAGGGGAUAUAUGGCUCCAGAAUAUGUAUUAUGGGGACAAUUAACUGAGAAAGCAGACGUGUACAGCUUUGGGGUUGUGGCAAUGGAAAUUGUUAGUGGGAAGAGUAAUACAAAACAUAAGGGAAUGGUUGAUCAUGUCUCCCUUAUGGAUUGGGUAAACACUGGAGCUUUUCUUUCUCUUUAUUCCCCGUAGAUGUACAGUUUAUAAAGUUUUGUAAAACCUGUUUUUACAUGUAAUCUCAGGCGCUGACGCUGCAACAGAGAGGGGACAUAUUGGAGAUUGUGGAUCCAAUGCUGGAAGGUAAUUUCAAUAGCAAAGAAGCUGUGAGGAUGAUCAAUAUGGCUCUUGUUUGCACAAAUUCAUCUCCUUCAUUGAGACCAACAAUGUCAGAGGCAGUGCGAAUGCUCGAGGGAGCGAUGGAGAUAACACCGGUUAUGUCAGAUCCUGGUUUAUAUGGACAAAACUGGUGCUCAAAGCUGAAGAACAAUAUUGAUACAGAUGGUAGCUCCAGCAUGUCUGGUCUGACGAAUCAAAUAACAAGGACAACGAAAUCAUCUGUUUCUGGUUCUGAUCUCUACCCAUUAUACCCACAAUCCAUUAUCCAAAACUCUACCACAGAGUUUUCUUCAUCGUCACAGUAAUAUCAAAACCUGUUCACAUUACCUUGUCUCUUAUUAGUGAUCCUUCAUUAACAACCCCUGUCAAUACAAAUUGAAUGCCUUAAUCACUGACAGUGAUUCACUGUACAUGUUAAUAACAAAAAGUAUGAUCAAAUCCUUUGCAAAACCUUCAUUCCCUUCCCUCACACAAGGUUUCAAUUUUAUGCUCCUGGCUACAACAGCAAGUCUCUCACAUAAUAAGGCCAAGCAUGUCAGGAAGUUGUGAAGAUACUUGAAGAUGAAACUGAGAUCAUUUUAAACUUGCGCUUCAAGACAUCAUCUUUGUAUUCUCAUAACUUUUCCUUUGUAGAUUUGAUCCGCAGAGAGAUCGAGAAAAAUCGUUUGAAUGUAAAAUAUUUGUGAAAAAUCGUUUAAAUGUAAAAUAAUUGUGAAUGGAGAAAAAAUAAAGUAGUUCUCCCAUUAUGUGUACCACCUGCCUUUUUUGUCACACCAUUCAACGUCUCAGUCUCGAGUCAAUUGUUUUUCACUAGAUCAGUAGCCUAGACCUAGGGAUGUUAAGAUUUAUGGCCGGCCCUGAUCCUUGAAAAUAUAUAAAAGUACUGACCCUAAUUAUAUAACUAAAAAGAUUGUAGAGCCAAUAUAGGAUUUUUCAAAAAUAUUUAGGGUUAAAAUAGGGUUGACCCAAUUAAUAUGACAUUCAAAUAUAUAAUAUUUCUGAAAUUACAUUAUUUUGCCAAAACCGAAAAAUCACAUUUUCCCGCCAAAACCGAAAAAUCACAUUUUCCCGCCAAAACCGCAAAAUCACAUUUUCCCGCAAAAAACGCAAAAUCAUGUUUUCCCGCCAAAAACGCAAAAUCAUGUUUCUGCCAAAACCGCAAAACAGAUUUUCCCGCCAAAACCGCAAAAACAUAUUUUCCCGCCAAAACCGCAAAAUCGAUUUUUCCCGCCAAAACCGCAAAAUCACAUUUUCUUGCCAAAACCAAAAAAAUCACAUUUACCCUCCAACACCGAAAAUUCACAUAUUCCCGCAAAAAAACGCAAAAUCACAUUUCCCGCCAAAAACGCAAUUUUCCAAAUUUUAGAUUGAAAAACCACAUUAGUUAAAAUAUAUUGUUUGGGUUUAUGGGCACCCAUUCGGAUAAUGGGUAUUACCCUAACCCUAAUCCGAACCCACGGGUUGACCUAUAUUUAACUCAAUAGAGUUAUUUAGACAUACAUGUACCUUAUCAAACCAGUUUUUUUGGAUAAGGUUCCGAAUUAGAUAUUCGGGUUCGGUUUUUUUACCUAGCCUUAACCGAACUUUAAAUAAAUAGGACCGGACUCGACGGAAAACUCUAUUUAACAUCCCUACCUAGAAGACCCUUUGAUUAUAUCUACAGCUACCGUACUUGCUAGGGUCAUUGUUGUGGGCUACAUUUGGGCUCUCGUGACUCGUGAGAAGUGUGAAAUUAGCCAAUCAUGGCUCAUAUCACUGUUGCGUUACUUAUACUUUGGAAGUUUCAGUUUAUUAAAUCAAAACUUUAUAAAAUUAUUAAUAAAUUAUUUUUUUAUAAGAAUAUAUAACAACAAUCAUCAAGCAUAUAUAAUUUGCACUAAAAUAUAUCAUAAUGUGGGUUCAAAACCUAGUUAAAUAAAAACUUAAUGCGGUAUCGAAGUUUUAUAGUAAAACCAAUAAAGGAAAUUGAGAUCCAAAAAAUCCCUUCUAAGUUCUAACAAGUUGACUUUGAAUCUUCACCGCGUUUACUUUGAAUCUUCGACUUGGGACAUAUACUUUAAAUGCAUAAAAGCGGUGAUGUGAGUAGUAGUUAGAACGUAACGUAUCCUAAAUUAAUUUGGGAAAGUAACACUUCAUUUAUUUAUUUUAGUAGGUUCUGGUUGUUAGAUCGGAUCAGAUAAUUGCUAUUUAAUUUACUUCCACAAAUAAAAUGGACGAAAGAUAAAUGAAGUGUAUUCCCUCCACACAAAUAAACAACAACUCGUAUGAUUCGGUUUAGUAAGAUAUUAAUCAAAUGAAAUUGAUCAAAUGUUUCUGUAAGAUUUUAGUAAACCGGGGACUUGAGUUCAAGUGUUCCUACACACACACUUAGACUGCUAUAUAAAAUGUUUUGCCCAGAUUAUCUAAAAUAUGGUCUUACGGUUCGGACUUCGUGUAUUUUUUUCACUAAUUUUGACUUUCUAUUUAUUUUUGUUUAUUUUUAUUUUUUUGCUGAUAACAUGCAUGGUACAUAUUGUUUUGUUUACGGAAACGUUCUGAUAAAUACAAGGGGGAGCAUUUGCAAAGAAAUCAUCCUAAAGGCUAUAUAGUAAAAAUCCCUAAAAUAGUAAAAUAAAUAUAACUGGAGAAGUUACUGCAAGAAUAGUUCAAGGUUCUAAAAGAAAUCGACCAAAUACACUAGGCGACAUGAAACAUCAAUCAUUCAUACUUUAAAAAAAAAAAAAAAAAAAAGCAUCAAGUAUCGAUGCAUGAAUUUCUCUAUUCACCCCCUACAAGUCUAGUCACCGGGCGACGACUCAAGAAGACCAAAAUAUAUAUAUAUAUAUCACACCAUUUGCCUGAUGCAUGUUAUAAAAGUUAUAACUUUUCUAUCGCUUGUUGGAUAUAACAUUGUGAUCAACCAAGCACAUUCACAGAUUAAUCAUCACUAUUAAAAUUCAUUCACUAUAUCUAAUUUCUAUCGAUAUGUGGAUCAUUUUCUCGAGUUUUCUUCUGUUCUUCACCGUCAUCACAAGUUCUCUUACAAAUAUAACAAUAGUGGCCUCUUUCCCAGCUCUUCAUCCAGAUGACGGUAUAUAUGAGAAGAGCACCAUUUUAAAAAUUUCUUAUAAUUUUCAGUUAUAUAUAAUAUUAUAUUAUAUUUAUAUUUAUAUACAGUCCGUGUGUUUUUUGUUUUUGUUUUUGUUUUUGGUAUAUCUAUGCAGCGAAUGCGCUAAAAGAGAUAGCUACAACACUUGGUAUCAAGAGAUUGAACCUAAGUAAUGGAUACCCUUGCUCUAUAAAAAAACUGGUGACCAUACCAGAAAUUAAAUUAUUUACCGGUAUGAACAACACCAUUCUUUGUGAUUGUUCCUUCAACAACAGCACAACAUGUCAUAUUACAGAACUGUGAGUGUUAUUAUUCUUAUGUCUUCUCUUCGUUUAAUUUUUUCUUUUCUUUUUCCUCUAAUUUUUUUUUUGUUUUGCUGCAUUAAUAAACAAAUACAGAGUUCUUAAAACCAUGAGUCUUCGUGGGAAACUUCCGCCUCAGUUGGUCAAGCUUUCAUAUCUCCGGUCGAUGUAAGUUAAUUAGUUCGGAUUUAUAUGAUUAACACUAAAUGGAAGUGGAACAAAAAACUAUUCAUGGUUUAUAAAAUAUCUGAGAGUUUUAUUUAUUUGCGUUUAUUAUUUAAAAUGUGACGUAAAUGCCAAUCUAAACGUAAAUACUCAAUCCUUUAUCGUAGAAUCUAUAUGAAAUUCCGAGACACCUCUUCAGCUCAAGUCUCUGUCUAUAUUAUGCCUUUCAAAAAGCUUUCUUUACUUCACCAAAAAAAAAAAAAGAAAAAAAAAGAAGUUAAUUAAUGCAACCGAUUUUACCAAUAAGUUGUGACUUUAGGUGACUUCAAGGUGACCGUCUGAAAUUUUGUAUAUAAAAGUUUGCAAUUACCAUACAAAAGUGUGCAACUAAAACUUACCGUUAAAAACGAUACUUAUUUUAAAGAUACAAGUGGAAAAAAAUAUAUAUAUUUUUAUGUUAAAGCAUAUUACGGGAAAAAAAAUUCUAAAUUUUUUAAAUGGAGAGAUCAACAAAACUAGUAGCCAGCGAAUCGUGAACGAGAGUGAUGGGAAAAUAUUCUAGCUUGUUUUUGUUCUUGUUUGCAUGCACAUGCAGAGACUUGUGCCGAAACUACCUUUCGGGCACAAUCCCGAUGGAGUGGACUUUAAUGCCAUACCUCACUCACA